UGACAUCUACUCUUCUUUCUUCACAAACUCCUUAUCUCCCACCAAGAAUCCAACCCUUCCUUCAUCUUCAACAAAGCCUUCACAUUCCUCUUUGCUGCCAUUAAUGAUCCCAUAGCUCGCAUAGUAACCUUGAUCCCUUGCUCUUACUUCUCUCACAAAUGGCGGCCACCAACUCUCUACAGUCCCUCCAUCACCAUCACUCCCUCCUCAAGGUCCUCCCCUCGGACACCUCCCCGCCCUCCUCCCUCUUCCUCAAGCCCACCACCUCCAUCUCCACUGCCACUAACAUUUCUCUCUCCCUCUCUACUUCAACAACCACCACUGCCUACUCCAUCUCCCCUGCAACCUCCACUGCUCCCUCCACUUCCAAGACCUUCUCCCUCGACCUCCUCCAGCAACACCUCUCCGACCAAAACUUCCGCGAAGCCGAUGAGGAAACCCGCAGGCUGCUCAUAGUUCUAGCUGGUGAGGCGGCACAGAAACGUGGCUAUGUCUUCUUCUCUGAAGUCCAGUUCAUACCAGAACAAGACCUUAAGGACAUUGAUGAACUGUGGAAAAAGUACAGCAACAACAAAUUUGGAUACAGUGUUCAAAAGAGAAUAUGGCGACAAAAGAGUAACAAGGACUUCACCAAAUUUUUCAUCAAAGUUGGGUGGAUGAAGAAGCUUGAUACCGAGGUUGAGCAAUACAACUAUAGGUCUUUUCCUAAUGAGUUCAUUUGGGAGCUUAAUGAUGAUACUCCUGAAGGUCACUUGCCUCUGACAAAUGCACUUAGAGGGAUACAGCUGCUCAGCAACAUUCUUAGCCAUCCUGCUUUUGAGGUAGAUGGAGAAGUGGAGGAAGAUGAGGUUGAGGGCAAUGAAAAUGGAGGGCUUAAGGGAUUGAGGGAUAGCUCAAAGCCUCCAUUAAGCAACAGAGUAUUUAAAACAGAUUACAGCUUCUGAGUAUGAAAUUUGAACACAACAAAGAUGGGAUUUGGGUUUUUUUUUUUUUUACAUACAUGUAAUGGAAGUUGUUGAUCGACUGCUUUCUUUUUUAUUUAUUUAUCUUUAUUUCCAUGCUUCUGUUUAUUUUGACCUUUUCUGUGAACAAAUAUUAAAUAUAAAUAUGCCCAGAUCGACAGAAUGGAGGAAACUAUUGUUGUUUACUUUUAGUGCAACGGGGAGGCCUGCCUUCCAGUACCUUUGUUUGCCUAUCUACUCCUUGUGAAAUUAGCUCGAGUACAAAUGGGGUUUUGCUUCAUCAAAAUUAUUUUAAAAAAAUAAUAAUAAUAAAAAAAAUAUAUUUAUCAAGAUAAUCAUAUAAAUAAAUACAAAGAUUAAUUUCUAAUAAAAUAUUAAUUCUUGAUAAAUUAAAUAUUAAAUAAUAAAAUUAAAAAUAAAAAUUUUAAAAAAAAGAUCAAGAUUAACUCAUAUCAACUUUUAAAACUCGUGACGUUAAUUAUAAGUCCAGAAUCCAGUCCCGUAAAAACUAAAUCUUGAAAAGUAAAAAAGUAAGGUUAUAAAUCAAUAAAAUAUUAGGAGAUGAAAUUAAAAAAAUAUAUGAUGAAUAAAACGGAAAAACAAUAAUUAUAUUAUUUUAAUAAAUAAAUAGUGAUAUGUGUUUAUAUUUACAGUGUUUUCUCAAUGUUCUUCACUUUUUUAAUACAGUUCUACUUAAUUAUAUUUUUAUAUUAUCAUAUACAAGGUUAAAUGAAAAGUUAUAUAUAAAUUAAUGUUAUUAAAUCCGUUCCCAUCUAACAGGAUAGUCUAAAUUUUAGUUUGGAUUGGGAAUAGAAACUAUUUAGCUUGUAACUUGAGUACUUCAAUUAAAUUAUAGUUUGAUUUUUUAAAAAAAAACUCAAAACAAAUCGUUUAAAUUUUUUAAAAUAAAAAUAACAUGUUUAGAUAAAUUAAAUUAAAUGGUAAAUUAUUUAAUAAGUAAUUUAAUAAUAAAAAUUAAAAAUUAAAAAAUUUGUUUUUUUUAUAAUUUUAAGUUUUGGAUUGUAAUUGCUAAUAAAAUAACUACUAGAAAUUUAUAUAAUUAUUAAUUUUAAAAUUUAUAAAAUUAAUUAAUCUACGUAGCGUAGAUAUAUCUAUAAAAAUAAUAAAAAAAACAUCAAAUUUAUUACAGGGUCGUAGAACAGGCGAAGUUUAAUAAAUUUGAUAUAAACUUCCCAAGCCCAACGACAUCAUCACUUCAUCCUUGUCUCGAAGAAAAGAAGAAAAAAAAAAUGUCAAGAAAUCAGCAGCACCUUCUCCGGCUGGUCCUGUCUUGCCGAAAAAUAACAGCUCAGGUAUCGAACCCGACGACUUCCACAAUAAUCGCGAUGGCUUCUUCCUCCGAACAAGAAUCAUUCCUCUCUAUCUACCGCAACACUUCCCUCUCUAUCUUCUCUCGCCAGUCCUGGGACUCAAAAACGGCGUCGCGUGUUGGGGAGAAGCUAGGGUUUAGAUUAAAGGAAAUCGGGGUUAAUAAUAUCUAUGUUGAUUUAAACGAAGAGUUGUCAAGGCCGAUUCAUUAUAGAAAGCGUGUGUUGCCGUUGUUUGAUUCGGUGAAACGCGUCGGCAUUGAAGUUGAUGGAGCUGAGAAGCUAGGAGAGAUCGGUCCUGUUUGAUGGGUUGUCAGGAUUUGAUUGUUUAGUACACAUUUUUUAUAAAGAGAGGUACUUUUCUUGUCUUUAAUUGGUUUUCCUGUAUUUGAUUUGAUCUUGAUAAUUGUAGAUUAUGAUGAAAUAAAUAUCACAUGAAAAUGAUGAUUUUGAGUUUUUUUGUUUCAAUUUUGUGAUCAUUUUGUUUAAUUUUUAUCAAAUUAUUUGCCAAAGUUAGAAUCUUGAGAUACUGUAUAGCUGGCUCAGUUCGAGAAGGGCUUCUUAGGAGUUAUGUUAUGGGUCUGUAGCUGAUUGAGGAUAAAGGGUAUUGGGUAAUUGAGGUACGUUGUGGUUUGCAGUAUUGGUACGGGUACAGGGUGUGAUGUUUCGAGAAUACAUGGUAGGAUAAGGGUAGGCUUAGUGUUACUGGUUUGCGGGGUCAUGUGAAAUUGAGUGUAUUUGCUCGGUUUGUUUUGAUCUAUAUGCGAAAGAAAAUAGUAAGCUUUGGAUUGUUUGAACAAUGUAAGUCUAGUUCUGGAAUCUAGUUUGAAUGCAAGUUUGUUUCGUAAUGCUCGAAUUGUUUGCUAGUUUUCAAGUUAUUCCCUCCUUAAAUGCUUCUUCAACAUUUUUUUAUGAUCCAAUUCUGAUUGCAAAUGCAUCACGAACCCUGAGCCUUUUUUUCUUUUCAGGAGGGCAUGUGAAUUGGGUAAUACUGGGUGUAGAAAUGUUAUCUUUUUGCAAGUGGAUUUCAAGUAUUGUUUGUUGACCCUUUCCUUUCUUGCCAAGAUCAUGAUUCUGUGGUUGUCAAAUUUUAUCUUUUGAUCUUUAGCAUUGGGCAACUCCUCUAUUGAGUUUGAAAGUAAACCUAAAUGGUGUUGUUUUGCUUACUACUGUUGCCUCUUGAGAGUUCAAAUAUCUUAGUAGCUUUCCUCCAUGAUCCUUUGCUGGAUGUUUUGUGUCUGUUUGGUGAAUUUCUAAGAUUCUUGUAUCUGCUUGGAUCCUUUACAAGUCAGCAUUGUGAUCCUUAAACAGGUGAAAAAGUGCCUAGGAUGUUGAAAUAGAUGGGGAAAAAAAGAGAGCAAGAAUAAGAGAAGUUAGUGUAAAAGUAAAGAAAGAUGUGGUGAUGAAGUAAGAAUACCAUUUCAUCAUUAGUUACAGUCUUGCAUCAUUUUUCUUACAUUGAGAGAAUAUCAUCUCCUUUUAUUAACAAACUAAGUCUAGAUUGGAGUCGACAUCGUCUUCAUGGUAUUAUUUUCAUGUAUCUGAAUCUUCCCACUCACAUUUGAAUACUCAAGUGUAUCAGCAUAACCCAGAAACCCAAAUUGUCCACUCUUAAUCAUACUAGAGUCAUGUUAAUUGUCUACUCUUAAUCAUAAUAGAGUCAUGUUAAAAUCGCAUUAAGUGAUCCUGAUAUGCAAAAUCACAUUAAGUGCUUCAAAACAAGCAAUAUCCUCCAUCUUAGUCCCAAAUAGCCCAUAUUUCACAACAAUCCCAUCCCACGCUUUGCCCUCGCCCUUUACCAUCUCAAUCCAAUUAAAUUACUCAUCUUCGUCAAAGGCCACAAAUUCAACAUCAAAAACCUCACACAAGACCUUCCAUAAACUCUUUCAUGUAAACACAUCACCAUUGGUGCAGUUGAAGGUUUGAUUCAUUGCUCCAUCAGUCACCGCUGCCCAUAUAUGUUGCUCAGCUAGUACUCUUGCAUCUGACAUGUCACUAAAGUGCUCCGAUGUUUAUUUGUUCCCAGAAUAUCGAAACGAUAACCCUUGGCAUCGGCAAAUAGUGGCAUGGAUAGAUAAAGUGAGCAACAUGCUGUACAGACCUCUUUAAGAAGCUCCUAUUAUAAUCGACGGAGAUGAAUUGAGUAUGUAAUAGAAGGAGAAUACGAUGCAACCAGGUCUUGCAAGGCAUAAUAGAAAUUAGGGUGAGGGAGUCUGUCUAGGUCUUCUUUGAAAGGUGGCUUGUAAUGGACAAGCUUGCCUGUAAGUGAAGGAUCAAAUAUUGGACCCAUGUUUUGAGUCGUGAAGGAGUAGCUGAUUUUAGCGCAUUAAGCACAGUGACGAACAUGUUGGAGUUCAUGGAGAUGUUUACUGCUUCAAUUUCCAUGAAUUUGUAAGGAAACCCAUAAGACGUGGGUGAUUUCAUGGGCCACUGGGAACAGUUUUGUUGUUGUAUCGGCAUGGUCCGAGGCAUAACGGUCGCUCAAGGAAGAUGGAGUUUUUGGCUUGCUGCGCCACACCCUUUCCAUGGGCUGCCUGGAGUUUUUGGCUUUUCAAUUAUUUUUGUUUCUGUAUUUUAAAAAUAUUUUUAAAAAAAUUUAAUUUUUAUUUUAUUUUUUUAUUAAUUUCAAAUUAAUAUGUUUUUAAAUUAUUUUGAUAUGCUGAUGUUAAAAAUAAUUUUUUUUUAAAAAAAAAUAUCAUUGCAAUGCAUUUUGAUAUGAAUAGUUAUUUGAAAAGCAACACAAUUACACUAUCAAAUAAGUUUAAUCCUAUUAGCACCCACAAUUUGGACAACUGAUGCACCUCGGGACUCGGGUAUUCUUAUCUUUUAUUGUUCAUUUUUUUAAAAAAAUAUCACAGGGAAAAAAAUGAUUAUAUAUUUUUAUUAUUUUUUAAAAUUUAAUUUUGAUAUUACCGUAUAAAGAUAAAAAAAUAAAUAAUAAUAAUAAUUUGACAGCUCUCACUCUUGCAUGCAUCAUGCAUAUAAAAUCAAUAGAAAUAGAAUGUGUACUGGAUUAGUUUUUAGAUCGGGGAUGAGCAAAUUGGGCUCAAUCUUUGUUGGGAAGCCCCAAAAUGAGUUCAUACAAAAUCAAGCUUGAUCAAGACUUGGGCCAAAUUUGCUAAAUUUAGUCAUGUUUGGUACAAUAUGCCCCUUUCUUUUCCUUUGAUAACACUUGCUAGGGCACAGCUUGAGCUACAAAAAAACGUUUAGAUUUUUUAUUUUUUUUUUAUUAUAAUCAUAUUUUUAUCAUAACUAGAAUUCCAGAAGAUGUUUGGAUUUGGGACCCAAGUUAGAAUUUCAGUUCUUAGGCUAGACAUUAAACUUGAUUUUGGGGAUUAAUUAUGAUCUAUGCCCAUAAUAGAAAAGAAAGGAAAAAUUAUAAUAGAUUGAGAAAUUGAGAUUUUUUUUUUUAUAAAACUUUAAGAAAUUGAGAGGGGGAGACUGCUUUAGUUCAAGUUAAUCAUAAGAGACUGAGAAAUUAAGAAAUGUGAGAGAGAGAUAGAGAGGGAGAGAUCAAGAACGACACACAAGGAGGAAAAUGGAGUCAAAGAGUGCUGUAGCAAAGCAAAGUGAACACCGCAAUGAAGGGCCAUUCAACUCUUGAGAAGAACAGCAUAGCCCAAGAACUGGCCACAUGGUUUCUGAAAUGCUUCUUAUCAGAGAAGGUGAUAUCAUCAAGCACUUCAAAACUUUCUUCCUUCUUCUUCUUCUUUAGACCUCAACAUAUUCUAAAAAAGAAAAGAUCAAAUGUCGCAUUGUUGUUAUUUAGCAUUGCCACUCAAAUCUCUCCGACCCAGAUCAAUUUGAAUCCCAUGCCAAUUACUGCUCUUAUCGCUAUGAUCAAGAGAAUCAGAGCUAGAUCCUGAUCUUUAUGAUCCUGAAGGUGAUGCUGUUCUUCUCUUGAUCCCGUGACAAGAGUUUAGUCAGGUAAAUAUCUUUUUAAAUUUAAAUUGAAACUCGACUCGGGUGCAAGCGGAGAGGAAAAGGAAGCUGGGUUUUUUUUUAAUGAUUAUUUUGAUGUGAUGACAUUUAAAUAACAAAAAAAAUUAAAAUAAAAAACAUUUUAAAAAAUAACAAUUUAUCACAUUUUCAUAAACUGCCAUAAAAAAAAUUAUAUCUAAUAAUUUUAGAUCAUGAUUUUUUUUCACCUCCAGAAAUGACGAGGAAGCUAGAUAGAUAACUUGUUAAGACUAAAAUGAAAGUUGGAAUACUAAUGUUGGUUGGUUCAAGUGUUUUGAUAUUUAUUUUUUAAAAUAAUAUCUUGAGUUUUAUAAAUAAAAUAUAUUAUUAUUAAAAUAGUUUUAUUUUUUAAUGAUCUAACCCGACUUGACCGGAGUAGUUGAGGAUUAAUAAAUUUCUAGAUACAGGAAUUUUUUUUAAAAAGCUCGAAUAGUGAAGAAAUUGAGACGUUUUCUUUUACCACUUUCCUAGAACUUGCAAGUUGUGGACUAGAGUGCCCUAGUCUAUGGGAAAACAACAAAAGAACCCAGAGAUUCUGGCCAUGAAUCCCAUGGCUAGAGCCCCUAGUUUGCUUUUUGGUGGACAAAACUCCUGGUUUUUACCGGUGGAUCAUGGAAGAGAACCAAAUUUUGGUUCGUAGUGUGAUGGAGAAUCCAAUGUCGUGUUUCCUAAGGCAUCAAAAAGAGAAAGGGACCAGCAUGUCCCUAUGCUGCCAGAAUAUCAAUCGGUCAAUCUAGGCACAUGUUUGAGGUUAACAACCCAUUUAACUUUAUUCUGCUUCCCUUUCCUAGCAUAGUCACAAGACCCCACAAGGCCUUGGCUUUAGCUCAAAGCUCGGGUCAUGUUUUUAGUAUGUAAAUCAACUUAAAUUUUAAUAUUUUUUUAAAAAAUUAUAGAAUAAUAUUGUUUUGAUUAAAAAAUAUAUGAUUUUUUCAUUAGUUCUAUCAUGAUCGGGUCUUUUUGGCCGGGUCUGAUGAUAAUUAGCAAUUAACAUGACCUUAGUUUCCUUUUUAUGUUUUCAUAAAACAAUUAAUAUUUAAAUGAUUUGUUCAUCAUUUUUCUUUAAUUGUAUCUUGAUGAGUAGCAUAUAGAUUAAUAAAUACAUGAUCUCCACCCUAAACAAAUGCACUUUAAGGAUCUAUAAUAGCAUUCAUGCCACUCUUACUUUUGUUAGAGAAAAUAUGCAUCAAUGCAAGGAUGAUAAAUUAGCAAAAUUAUUGUUUAGAAACGCUGUUGAAAUCUAGGUUUUUAAAAUUUUAAUUUUUUUAUUUAAAUUUAAUUUUUUUAUGUUUUCGUAUUGCUUUGAUAUGUUAAUGUUUUGAUAUGUUAAUGUUGAAGAUAAUUUUUUUUUUUUAAAAUGUUAUUUUGAACUACAAUCCCUACUAUAAUCCUAAACACCCUACAAAUGUAUGUGGUGCGAUUAAAUGUUGUUUAUUCACGUAGCGUGGAGGCGAGGAAAAAACCUGAAAAACCGAUUGAACCGAUAAAACAAAAAAAAAUAACUGAAAAAACUAAAUCGUAAAAAAAAAAGAUUAAACCGAUUAGAAUUUAAAAAAAAACUGAUCGGCUUGAUUCAGUUUUAUAAGUCUGAAAUCAAAAAAAUCAAGCCAAACCCAAAUAAAAAAAUCAAGCAAGACCAAAAAAACCAAAUCAAACCGAACUAAACUAAAACUAAUUAGUUUAAACCAGUUUCGAUUUUUUUUAAAAAUUUAAUUUAAUUAUUUUUUGAUAACAACUCAACCAAACAAAAAUUAAUCAUUCUCUGAUAUGGUGUGCCGUGUAAAGAAACACACUUUAAAAAAACAAAAGGUUCAAAACUUAAAAAGUGAUCAAAUUGUCAAAAGUGAAAUAGUGUAGGGAACUUUUGUCCUGCAAUAAAAAAACACUCUCAUGAAUCGCGGGACCGUUAAUGUUUUUGUCAUUACUUGGGUCUUGGGAUUCUUUUCCACGUUUCUUGCAUAGUGGAUUCAGGACUUGCUGCUCUUGUCCAUCUACUAACAUUUUUUAAAACAUGAAUUUAAAGUAUUUUUUUAUUUGUAAUUUGUAUUCAAAUAUUUUAUUUAUUUUUAUAAAAUUAUUUUUAAUAACAGCUUAUAUAUAUAUAUAAAAAUAUAUAUAUAUAUAUAUAACAAUUUAUAAGCUAAAAAAACAAAAAAAAACAAUUAGUAUUCUAAUGCAGAUAAUAUAAAUAAUAAAAAUUAGAACAAGAAAAUAAACAUGUUUUAGAAAAAGAAAAAAAAAAGGAUUUGAGAUAUGUAAAAUCUUUAAUAUUUUUAUUAAUCAUCAAAACUCAUUAACAUUUAGAAAAGGUAAGAUAUAAAUAUUAAAACCCUGACUAAAACAAACGAUUGAGUUUAUGGUCUACUAAAUAAAAUAUCAAAUAAUAAUUAAAUCAAACAUAACAAAUAAAAUUAAAUUAAUAAAUUUUAACUAGAAGUUUAUAUAAAUUAAGUCAAAAAAUAUAAGUUAUAGCAUAAUCUUUUAAUUAUUUGAUUUAUUUUUUAUUAUUUAUAAUAUAUAUAUAUAUAUAUAUAUAUAAAUAAAUAAUAUUUGGGGUUUGGUGUAUUAGUAUAUUCAAUGUAAAUCACAACUUUAAUAACAUCAAUCUCUUUGAAAAAACGAAAGUUUAACGUCGCCGAAAUUAUUGUUGACAGGCCCCACUCAAAAACAAACUUGAAAGUUUUUCUCCAGCAAUUGGCUACUAGUCAACCUAUAUAUAAUGAGUCAACAUUUCUUUUUAUUAAAUUUGACCAAUUUGGAAUGAUUUUGAUUAGAUAAAGUACGUUAUUAAAAAUUCAAUUAGAAUAAUUAAAUUUUACAGAGUUAAUUUCUUAAAAAAGUUUAACUAGAAACCAGCCUGGAUUAGAUUUUGUAUCCGGAGGAAUUUAUCGAGUCAACCCACUAGUUUAAUAAUUAUACCUAAAAUUUGUUAUAAAUAAUCUAGUUUAGGCAAACAAAAUAACAUUAUUGUGUGAUGAUUGUAGUGAUGGGUCUAAAUUAAGAAAAUUAUAAGAAAUAAUAGAGUGAUUUAUAUAAUUUUUAUUUCCUAGACAAGGAAUCUAAUUUAUAAAGCAAAGAACAAUGUGUUACGAAUUUUUUUAUCCUUAUUUGCCCCAUGAUAAGGAGUGUUUAGUUUGGGGGUGAUUUUUAUUUUUUUAAAUAAAAUUUAUAUAAAAAAUAUGUAUUUUUAGUAAAUACAUGAUUUAUAUUUUAAAAGAAUUGUACUUUUAAAAAAAACCCAUCACAAGCCAAAUAUACUUGGAGAUAUAGUGGCUUAUUUUUCAAAUAUAUAAAAUCUUUUAAGCAUAAACCAAUUAUUUAAAAAUUAAAAAAAAUAUAAUUUUUACUAAAAAAUAACACAAGUUACCUCUCAUCUAAACACAUAUCUAUCUAACUUAGGCUAGUCUUGUAUAUUUUCCUUUGACUUCAAAGAAGUUGCAAGAAGGGUUGUAUAUCAACAAGAGAAAUUGUAUGAUGUUUUAUUAGCUAUUUUUCUAGAUGUAUUUUUUUGAAAAAUACCAACGAAAAAGAGAAAUUAUAUAUAAAGAAAAAUUAAUCCAUUCAUAUACUUAAAUCAAGAGUGAUUUUUUUUUAAUAAAUACCAGCCUGUCACAUUAGCAUAACAAUCCAUUUCUAAAAUAAUAACUAUUAUUUAUUAUUGCUGUCCAAAAAAAUAAUUGCAAAAGAAAAAAGACACAGAGAAGAGGAGAGAGAGAUAGAAAGAAAGGCCCUGGGGAAGAAAUAUCAAAUCUCCCUCUUCCCCAUCGUUGGCCUUUUUCUUUGUUUGUUUUCUAAGGUAACAAUUUAUUUUUCAAAAUUGUUUUUUAUUCAAUUUUUUUUGUUAACAUUUGUUUACUGAUAAUUAAUUAAUCUACUUUUUUUCUGGCAAUUAGUAAUUUUUGCAUUUCAUUUUGGCUUUUUACGGGCUAUUUCAGAUCGUGAUGAAACUAGCUUUGGUUAUGUGAAGAACUGUGAUUUUUUAUAUUUCGAUUGGUGGGUUGUUUUUUCUUUUAAUUUAUGUAGCUUAUAGACUUUGAAUUUUGAUUAUUUUUCCUGGGGUUCUGGCAUUUUAUUGAUUUCUAUUUCCUUUACGAGCCAAAAUCCCAUCUGGGUUUUUAAAAUUUUGUUGAUUGUGUCACAAGAAUGUGAAUUUGAUUUCUUUUGGCUAUGUGGGUCAGUGAGUUUUUGGCAGAUUGUUGAUAGUGAAUUUGAUUUGAAUUACUGUGAACUGAAUUUUGGUUUUUUUUUUCCUGGUGUUUGAUUUUGUAGAAGAGGAGGGGGUUUGAAUUUCAUUUGGUGACAAAAUGGGGGUUAUGUCAAGACGGGUUGUGCCCGCCUGUGGUAGCCUGUGUUUCUUCUGUCCUUCACUGAGGGCAAGGUCAAGACAGCCCGUUAAGCGAUACAAGAAGUUGCUUGCUGAUAUCUUGCCGCGUAAUCAGGUGAUUUGUUAUGUGUUUCAUGGUAGCUUGCUUUGUGUUUGCUAGUAUUUUUAUGGGUUUUCUAUGAUUUGGAAGGAUACUGAAUUGAGUUGGCACUCUCUUCUUGUGCUUUGAACCCGUGGUAGUAGUGUGGAUUAAAUGGAUCAUUUGUGGUUGAAAUGCAGUUUAUGUGAUGAUGUAUAUGUGGUUUUAUUUGUACUUUGAUUCAUAAUGCACAUCUAAUCAAAGUGAACUCCAUUUGUAUUGCUACAUUUAUAGCCAUGGCCAUCAUUGGUAUCAUUGUCAAGAAUCAUGAAUGUUUUAUUAGUGAACUUGGUCCAAAUGCCAGUGAUUUUCUAAUUAAGGAAUUUCACCAUCUUGCCAGUAGAAGAAUGUAUAGCUUUGGCAGUUCCUUGUUAAAGCCUCUCAAAGGCUUAUGACUCAUUUCACCCUCUCCAUCCAUCCAACAGGGAAAAGAGAACGUUAUUUUGAUAAAAACAGUGGUGUGGAACUUUGUUUUUGUUCCUUUCCUUUUGUGUUAAUGCAACCGGCAUUUUGCAGGAGGCUGAACCAAAUGAUAGGAAAAUCGGGAAGCUUUGCGAGUAUGCUUCAAAGAACCCGUUACGAAUUCCCAAGGUCUGUACUGAUUAUCCUUUAGGAAUUUCCAAGGUCUGUUUAUUGAUUCAUUGAGAGUCCAUUACCUUGCAGAUUCAUGCAUUUAAAUAUUUCGUCAAGAUUUAACAUUUCAUUGGUUCAGUUAUUUUCUUUAACAAGUUUAAAGGACAAGGAAAAUGCAAGUUUAUAUUUACACGUGAUUGUCCUUUUUACCCUUUCUUGUUAGCAUGCUCUUCAUUUAAUAUUUUUUUAAGUGCUAAUAGUUAGUUAUUUUUCCCUGUUGUAAUUAUUUGGUCUUGAUGUGAACACAAGCCUUUUAUCUUGUCUCACAGCUGAUUCUGGUUAUAAUUGAAUUUUUUAAUGAUCUGCAAUAUCCUAUCUAAAUAUUGUAGAAUUUAUAGGGAAAAGAAAAAAAAACAAAAAACUGGUCAGUGUUCUGCAAGGAUGAUGUGUUCAUGGGGUUCAAUUUUCAAAUAAAAAGUUGUCUUCAACAAGCUCUGUAGUUUCCAUGUACCCGCCAAAUUAUAUAACUUGGUUUUCAUUGGCUAUUAGUUUUACAUUUACUCUGCUCCUCAGAUUACUGAUACCCUGGAGCAAAGAUUUUACAAGGAGUUGGCGGCAUGAGAACUUUGGAUCUGUAAAGGUUGUGGUAUGCAUUUAUAGGAAAUUGCUAUCGUCAUGUAAGGAGCAGAUGUAAGUCUAUGCAUUUUAGACUUGAAAUGACUUGGACUCUAUUUGCCAAAACCACUCAAUUAGAAAGUUGUUGAAUAUAACCUUGAAAUCUUAACUUUUUAAUGUGUACUUGUUAAGUUUUGAAUUGCUUCCACAAAUUAAUGCCACAUUUAGGAUUUUUUCCCCUUAAGCUGCUAAUAAUUUUUAUGAAUAAAGAAUUGUAAGCAUUUGACUAGAAUUUGUAAAAAGAAAAAGAAACUGUACUGAUAAUUGAGAGUAAAAUGAAAAGAUAAUGUAUAUGUGAUUAAAGCUACAUGGUUAGAGAAGUAAAUUGGGACGUUAUUGAUGCCAAUUGAUUAGUAUAUACAGUCAGAAUAACAUCUACAAAGUAAUAUAGACAGUCACAAACUAUUCUUUGGAAUGAUAUUAAGAUCCUUUUGUUUUUUUCAAACAGUAGCUGUUUUUGUUUGAUGACAUUUGCUGGUGCUAUUCAAUACAUGCAGGCCUCUAUUUGCCAGUAGUUUGUUGAGCAUUGUUCGGACUCUUUUGGAGCAAACUGGGAAGGAUGAUUUACGGCUUCUGGCUUGCGAUGUUCUUGUUGAUUUUAUAAGUUGCCAGGUUUGUAAUGGAUAAAGCUAGAGUUGUGAGAGUAAUGUUGACAUAAAGCUAUAUAAAAUGGCACCUAUGCCUAUGAUACUAACUUAUUCAAUAAAAAAAUAGAUGGAUGGCACAUAUAUGUUCAACUUAGAAGGCCUCAUUCCUAAGCUCUGUCAAUUAGCACAAGAAGCUGGAAAUAACGAAAGAACUCUACGUUUGCGUUCAGCAGGGCUGCAAGUGCUGGGCACCAUGGUACAGUUUCUUUUGCCGGUUCAAAUGUCUCUUGUUAAGGAAUUGCCACCCACGGGUGUUUUUGUGAUUUUUUUAUGUUUCAGCAAUCAUAUGAAUUGCUGCUGUUUCUGAUGGUUGGCUUUCCUCUAAAGAUGAGGCACAUGUAGUUUAGAUAAAUGUAUGACUCAGUUGCAUCUAGGUUUUUAGAAAUUGUACUUGAUACUUGAUUUCUCUUUUCUAGCCCCCACCCCCCCUAGAUUUUCUUUGCUGAUCCUAUUUGAUAGUAGAACUUUAAAGGGAUUAGAUUUGGAUCUAUCUAGGAUACUGAUUUGACUUGUUGACAACCCAAGAACCUGGGGACAGUUAAAUUAAUUUCUGAGUUCUGUUUUUUCCACGGGAAGGAAAAUUAAUUUACCUGACUCUUUUUUCCAGUAACUUUCUCUAUGCAUUUUUAUGUUUUAUAUCUAAUAUUUCACUUCUCAUAAUUUUUUCAUCUUUACAAUGGCCUUUUAUCGUUCUCUUGUUAUUGUAUGUAGCCCAAGAUUCUCAUAUUUUCUAUUCUUGAGUACACUUGAUUGUCACUCCUUUGAUGCAUUGAUUGUCACUCCAUUGAUGCAUUCUUAAUUUUAUUUUGUUCUAGGUGUGUUUCAUGGGUGAGCAAGCUCACAUCUCGAUGGAUUUUGACAGUGUGAGUAGACCUUCUUAUGCACCCUUAUUAUCAUAGCCUUUGACAUUAGCAAACACUUGUGACAAUUGUUGGCUUUUGGUAUUAACUGGAACAAGUUUUUUUUUUGGUCUGAAAUAGAUUAUAUCAGUCACUUUGGAGAACUACAUUGAUUUCGAAAUGAAUCCAGAUACAAUGGAAGAUCAAUGGGUUCAAGGUGUGCUUAACACAGAAGAUAAUGGCUCAUCUUUCCCAGACAUAAGCAAGAAGGUUUCCUUAUCAGACCUUACAACCAAGCCUGAAUUGGACCUUGCAAUGUAAGCCUGUUUUAUUGGUUCGAUGCUAUGUGUUUAGAGGCAAUAAUUUUGUUCAAGUAACAUUGUUUGCUUCCUUUUCAUCUAAAACAGGGAUACUUCCAAGAGUCCAUCUUACUGGUCUAGGGUAUGUUUAUGUAACAUGGCUAGACUAGCGAAGGAAGCUACAACAAUAAGACGUGUUCUUGAACCUCUAUUCCAGAACUUUGAUGCUAACAAUCACUGGUCCCUAGAAAAAGGAGUUGCCUAUCCUGUUUUGACAUUUUUGCAGUCACUUCUGGUUGAAUCAGGUUAUGUUUGGAACUUGAUGCAUUGUGUUUUUAGGCCGUGUGUGUGGUCUCAGAUACUCUGCUGUAAUUCAAAUAACCUUUUUGUAUACAUAACUGAUAUUGCUUAUAUUUACUUCAGGAGAAAACUCACAUUUGCUAUUAUCUAUCCUGGUCAAGCACUUGGAUCAUAAGAGUGUCGCCAAACAACCACUUUUACUGGUAGACAUUGUUAAUGUCACAGCACGACUUGGACAAAGUGCAAAGCAGCAAGCCACAGUUGCUAUCAUUGGUGCAAUAUCUGACUUGAUGAAACAUUUACGAAAGUGCCUGCAAAAUUCUUCUGAAUCAUCCAGCCCUAGGGAUGGCAGCGAUGAAAGGAAUGCUGAUCUUCAGGUUGCCUUGGAAAACUGUAUUGCACAGCUCUCAAAUAAGGUUUGCAGUUGUUCCUUUAGUUUUCACUUCAUUUAAUUUAUGGAAUGAACUAGCAGUGCCACAGAAAGUGUGGCUUCUGAAACGUUAAAACCAUGGUUUAUCUUAAUAUGCAUGUAAAAUUGUUUUUGCAAAGAAGUUUGGGAGUGAAUCAUAGUUUAUAAAUUGUUGUUGUUGUUUUUUUUUAAAAUUGUUUUUCCUCCAUGUAGUUUAUGUACAAAAGCUGUUUUUAAUCAACAGGUGGGGGAUGUGGGACCCAUACUUGAUACGAUAGCUGUGUUCUUAGAGAAUAUUCCAGCCACUACUGUUGUAGCUAGAACAACUAUCUCGGCUGUUCACCAAACUGCACGGAUUAUCUCUUCCAUCCCUAACAUAUCAUAUCACAAAAAGGUAAAUAAAUGUACUUUUACUUUUUUUGCGUUCUAAUCUCUAAAACCAUUUGAGUACUGAGGUUAUGCAUUGUAAUCUGUUUCAGGCUUUUCCUGAUGCUUUAUUCCAUCAAUUGCUUGUAGCAAUGGCCCACCCAGACCAUGAGACUAGAGUUGGAGCACAUAGUGUCUUCUCUAUCUUGCUUAUGCCAUCCUUGCUUUCUCCUUGGUCAGACCAGAAUAAGAAAACCUCUGAAGCUGUUUCUGGGUUUUUUGGUUCAUCGCAUCACAAAAAAGGAGUAAAAGUUUCUCCUUUCAGGAUGAAAGCAAUGAUAAUGUUGAUUCCAUGGACGGAAAAUCAUGGGAAGAAGGCAAUCCAAUAUCAGAUAACAGUGGAAAACAUGAUUCUCAUGAUCGUUCAAACAGCUUCAAGCAUGCUGUCUUAGAUGGAAAAACAGUAUGGAGCUCCAAAAAUUUGAACUUGAGCUUAUUUAGUUUUCAACUUGAUUUUUUUUUCCACAUCCAAGAUGGAAAAAUGGUCUCAUGCAGUUGAAUGCUUGCUUGCAGCUAACUUCCCUUCGAUUGAGUAGCCAUCAAGUCAGUCUUCUGCUUUCAUCAAUAUGGGUUCAGGCAACAUCUGCAGAGAAUAUGCCCGCAAAUUUUGAGGCCAUGGGCCAUACUUAUAACAUUGCUUUGCUUUUCACACGAUCUAAGGUUAGUCAUGCUUACAAUGUGCUAGCAUAAGGUGCAUUUACUUCAAUCUCCUUUCAAGCUCUAUAAUUUCAUAACUUAGCUUAGUAUAUCCGGGGUCCUUCUGAAUUUUUUAAACUUAGAAUGGUGCUUCAAGCCAGCAAGUUUUUUUCUCAGUUCACCGUUGAUUCUUUUCUCCUCGCAACGAUAUUGACAUUGAAUCUGGAGGAGAAAAUUACUGAGAGGGGUUUCUGCAUAGCCAGAAAAGAAGUUACAUGUUUUGCCAUAUCUUUCAAAUUUUCUUGUUUUAGAUAACUGAAGAAUCUAAUGCUUUCAAAUUGAUGGCCAUACUUGGCCUGUGUGUUGAUGAACUUUGGUUAUCACAGACCUCAAGUCACGUGGCUCUAGUCCGGUGUUUUCAGCUGGCAUUCUCACUUAGGAGCAUCUCUCUGGAUCAAGAAGGUAAGUUGAAUCUAUUAGUGAAUGAUAAUAUUUUGGUCAUAGGAUUUACAGCAUUUAUUUGGAGGUGAAUGGGUGUUUCCCAUGUGGCACCGUAUAUAUGUGAAUGUAGCAAGAUGUUGCCAUUCGUGAGAUCAGAAUUUCGCUAACACUUCCCAGUCUCACUGUUAUACGCAUUGACGGACCUUUUAUCUGCGUUCCCAAACUUGCUUUUCUUGGUCAUCUUUUUCUCCCAAUAUUGCCCUGAUUUUCUUUUAAUCAUGCAAUAAAAAUGAAACUUAAUGUAAAACUAUGGUUUUGCUUAAAUUUUUUGCUGAAUCACACAGUUGUAUGUUAUAUAGUGAAUGGUGAUAAUGUGAGAGACAGACUACCCAGAUUUUAUCUUUCAUUCCUUCUUUUCUCUAACUAAAAGAUCCCUGAUUUAUGAUUUCUGAAUUGCAUGUGAAGUUUAUUUUCUGAAAUUGAUAGACUGGUUAUCUUGGUGAAAUUUACUUCUGAUAUAUAUCUCUUGCAUCCAAUUUUAAGCAGGUCUGCAGCCAUCUCGCAGAAGGUCCCUCUUCACCUUGGCAUCGUUCAUGCUUAUUUUUGCAGCAAGGGCAGGAAAUCUCCCAGAGCUAAUUCCUUUUGUUAAAGUCUCUCUAACGGAAAAAACAGUUAGUUCCUUUUCCAUUACCAUUUAGAAGAUAAUGUUUUGUUUUUGUUUUCCUAUGGGUAAGACAUGUUUCCCUUGGAGCUUCCUUUAACACAUUUGCAUCCAUUUAUCAUUAUUUUGGCAGGCUGACCCUUAUCUUGAAUUAGUUGAAGAUAUCAAGCUGCAAGCUAUUUAUGUAGAAUCUGAUGAACGGAAAAUAGCAUAUGGUUCAGAGGAUGAUGAUGUUGCUGCUUUAAAAUCUCUCUCAUGCGUACAAGUAGAUGAUGGUCAUUUGAAGGAAACCCUGGUAUCCCGAUUUAUGACAAAAUUUGUCAAAUUAUCAGAGGUGAUGUUCUGACUUAUAUUUAUGCAUUUUCUUAACAAUAUAACUACUGAAUUUGUCUUUUCUAGAUCUGAUAUAAGACUUUUCAAAUGGCCAAAGGUCCAAGCUCUGAAUACCUAUGAGCAACAGUUGCAUGGUGAAUAGCACUAGCCACAUUUAUGUCAUUAAAAAAUAGAGUGAAUACUGUGCCAAAUGAACACACUUGGAUAGAAAUGCAAAGAAAAAGAAAGGAAUGUAUUUUUAUAAAAUAUAGGAAGAGGAUCUGUAUCAAUUUAAUCCAAGUCAAUACCAUUUUGCAAUUAGACAAGUAUUAAGAAACACAGACCACAUAAAUUUUUCUCAUCACUAUAAUAAGUUGCUCAUGCUUUAGAAUAAUUAUGCUUUUCUGGAGUUUUUUGAAAAAUCUUGAAUAUUAUUCCCAGGACACUAGGUAGAUGUUUCACGGUUAAUUGUGUUGUUUCCUUUGACAAGGUUCCAACGAGGACAGUGUAUUCUGUCUCAAAAGGGUUGUACAUCAUUUGAGGUGUACUUUAUUUCAAAAUUGUCAUUUUCUUUGUUUUCCAGGAUGAGUUAUCAGGCAUAAAACAGCAACUUCUACAGGAUUUUUCACCUGAUGAUGUAUAUCCUUUAGGAGCUCCCCUGUUUAUGGAUACACCUAGGCCAUGUUCCCCUCUUGCCCGAAUGGAGUUUCAGGCAUUUGAAGAGGUAACAUCAUUAAGAUAAUGUUUUCCGUCUUGCAUUUAGCAAGUGUGUGACAGUUCACUUAUUUUAUUGGGUUUGUCUCAGAUUAUGCCUGCAGGUGCCUUGACGGAUGAUGAAACCUUCACGGAACUUAAUGGAAGCCAGUCAGGUCGCAAAACAUCAAUAUCUGUCCAUACACUUGACAUUCUAAGUGUCAAUGAACUUCUGGAAUCAGUAAGAGGAGCAAAUCUUGUUUCAUCUAUUUUUUUACUGAUUAGAUGGAAAUGCCAUUGCUGAUUUCUUUCCUAUUUUAGGUUGUUUAGACCUGUGAUCCCUGGUAAGGAACAAGGGCUGAAUUGUUGUGGAAUGUAUUGAAAAUUAUAAGUUUGGGAAACUUUUUAAAAAUAAAUAAAGAAAGAAAAGUACUGUAUAGGAUUUUUUAUUUAUAUUUUUUUUUGGGGGUGGGGUUGCACAAGAAAUAGUCUCUUUCCCAGACAUCUUGGUACAUUGUUGUAUGAGAGAAAAGUACGGUAAUUGUAACAGGAAUGGCUUGUUUUUAUCCAUUUCUAGUCUAGGAUAAAAUCAGCCUUUUAUGAUACUUUAUGAUUUAUUUUUUCUUGAUGACUACCUGUCUUAGCUUCACACUUCCUUGCAAAUUAAAUCUGUCAGUGAUCUAUCCAGGUCCUGGAAAUGCUCGACAAGUUGCAAGCUCCCAGGUGUCCUCUACACCUGCCUUAUGACCGAAGAGUCAGUGUGAAGCUCUCGUUACUGGUAAACAGCAGAAAAAUACUACAUAGUUUUAAGCAAACCGGAAGCCAAGGUUUUCCCCAGCACAGAUGAAAAGAAGGACACCUCAGUACAUGAUGAUGUGGUGAGUUUGUUUACUUUUGCAGACACAGGCCACGCUUAUUGAAUACAUUGCCUUUUCAAAUAUAUUACUUUUGUCCUGUCUUGUCCCUUUGCACGAAUACAUAACUCCAGCCCUUGGGUUUGGUGGUAGUGACAUUAUAACCAUCACUGUUGUCAUUAUCAUACCUGAAGUUUGAGCUUCAGGAGUUUCCUGAAAGGUUGUGUUUGGAUCUUUUGUCUUUCAUUUUGGUUUUGGAUCUCCCUGUUCCAAGGCCUUGGAUGGUUUUUGGAUGUUCCUGCACCACUGUAUGAUAUACAUGUGAUGCAAACGCCUUCUUCAUGUUUUUCUUUUGGAGGUGAAGGUUCCCAGAACCUUUAGCCUUUAUUACUCGGCAGAUAGGCUAUCUCAUUAAAACAUAAUUCAUGUACUGAUGUUACUUGCAAAUUAUUUGUUGUUCAGAAAGUGGAGUUGCCGCAAUGUGAUCGAACAUUAGCCACGAAGGAUCAAAUUAGAGCACCUGAUCAACUCGCCCUCUGCUCACUUGAGUACGGACAAAAUUCUUUCAGAUUACCACCUUCAAGCCCUUAUGACAAAUUUUUGAAGGCGGCUGGAUGUUGAAGAGUGUUCUAUACUAGCGAAUGACUACAAUGUUUGUCUAAUUUAUCUUUUCAUCAGGCAGUUAUCCUUUUUCUUUUCCGCAAUUCUUUAUCAUGGAAGCUUGCCAUUUUUCGCUUUACAUGUAAAUGUUACCCGGUCUGAUUACUAAUGUGGAGAAGAGAAAAGGUAGUAUGGGGAAAAUGGGUGGUUUUCAUCUACUCCUACAUUGUUUUCAAUAUCCAUAGCAAGAUUUGUUAAUAUCUUGACAGGAGCAAGUGUUCAUACUAAAUUUGUUGAUUGUUAUGUGCAUAUACAUAUAUUUGUAUAAUAGACAUCAACCUUGCUAAGUUUCUCUCGACAUUUACUGAUUUGUACUAUUUUAUUCGUUUGUGUGCAAACAUUACUUCAUUCAUGGAAAAUCUUUUCUUUUUUUCUGGUAGAUUUGUGAUAUUCCUGCUUUAACGUGAUGAACUUUUGAUUAAACUUCAAGUGCCAAGAAGGCAAGGAUCAUCUGCAUUGGUUGAGAAGCUUGAUUACGUACGAGCAAUGAAAAUUGCUUUGACUUGGCUAACCUCCUCCAAUGAACACUUGUGGAUGUGGACAUUGACUGAAAAAAUGACAGGAUUCAGAAGAAGAUUAGACGAAAUAUGGAGUCACAAGCUGAGGGAAUGGCACCUCAAAGGGGUCUCAUAAUCUUCACACCAGAUGCUAGAAGAGACGAGAUUAGUGCCUUGCCCUACACGGUGUAAAUAAACUCAAGAAAAAUAUUGGACGAAAGCAUCUUUAAUGUAAUGAACAUUCUCUUGUGCAAACUGAGAUGGAAGAAGCUGAUUCAUUGGGUAUCUGCUAGCAUCCAUUUAUAUUUGAAAAUAAAUAAAUCUUGCACUAUUUAUAUUUAUUUUUGAAGCCAUUGAAUAUCUUAUUCGGUUGAUCCAUGGAAAAAAUAAAAUAAAAUAAAAAAUUAACUCUCUUUUGCUUUUGAGCUAGUUUAGUUUUAAUAAUAGAAAUGGUUGGUUUUUAUUUUUUAUUAUUAUAAACCCAACUCCUUCCAAAUCAAUCUGUUAAAUCAAUUAUUUAUACUUUAAAAAUAUUUAUUUAAAAAAUUGAUAUAAUUUAUUUUAUUAAAUUUAUAUUUAUUCACUGAAAACUCUCGCAAUUAUUUUUUUAUCAUAGCUAUAAGGCUCAAUUAAUCCAAGAUACAUGAUCCAAGAUACAGAUCAUGGAUAGAAAAUUAACUUAAUUAACCAACUUUUUGAUUUUUGGUUAUUUAAAAAUAUAGUUGUGAUUGUUAUUUAAAAUAUAUUUUACUUAAAAAUAUAUUAAAAUAAUAUUUUUUUAAUUUUUUAAAAAUUAUUUUUGAUAUCAAUAUAUUAAAAUGAUUUCAAAGAAAAAAAUAAAUUUUUUUUUUUUUUAAAAAUACACAGUAUAUAGUAAUCCGUUGGAUCCGAACUGGUUUUGUAACCACGUGGCAGCCAUCUACUGGACCCAUUCCGUUAACAACAAGAUCCUUCAAACAAAACCUUAAAAAACGUGGCACUCGAUGACCGGACCUAAAAACAAGCAGGGCCCACACACACACGUAUACAUAGAAAUUAGAGCUCGUGUUCGUGUAUUACAAACUCGCUCUCUCCGUUUUUAAACUCACUCACUGAGUCAUCAUAACACAAAUCUCGCGCUCCCACCCUCUCUCUCUCAAAACUCACAAAAACACCAUGUCCCUGAGGUUUUAGCUUUCUCUCUCCAUCGUUCUUUCUCUCUCUAGACAGAUCUCUCUGAUCAGGUAAGUCUCAACCGUCCGUUUAUUUUCGCUCUCCUUUUCCUUUCAUGCAUUUGUUUUUUGUGGAAUUUUAAGUUACUGAAAUAAAUAAAAAUUCGUACAUUCUUUUUUUUUUUCGUGUGCAAAUUACUGAAAAUGAUCGGAUUAGUGUUAAUUGGUGUUUAUUAUAACUUUUUUUGAUGAUUCUUGACCGUUAGAGUGAUUUAGGGCAUUUUAAAUGAAGAUAAACUAGCGAAGACUUUCAGUUUUUAGCUUCUAUGGUAUAUUUUGAGAGUAAUAUAUCAAUUUCAGGGCGUUUAUGAAAGAGAUGUUGCGGUUGCUAGGUUUUUAGUAAUUUAUGUUUAGGAGAGCUGCUUAGAGUGUUUUAGUUACUGAUUUUUCACGCAUAGUGUAUUUUCCGCUGGGUGGUGGCGUGAGGACGAAAGUGAGAGAAUGAGAACAGUGUGUGGGAAUGUAUGCAUACAUAGGUUGUUGGAUUGAUUAUCAGAAUUUGGAACUAAAAAUAAUAGUGUUCUAUGUGUGAGAGUGUAAUAUUUGGGAUUUUUUUUUGUAUAUGCUUAUUUAUUGUAGGGAUUGGAGGCUGAAACUUGAGUUUUUUGUUGUUGUUUGUAUUUUUUUUUAGGUUCGUAUUUUUAAUUCAUGGGAGAGUGUAGUCAACACAGUUAGAUUCUUGUUUCUUUGCAUAUGUAUUCAAAACGUUCUGGUCAAGGAGAUGGCCCAGGUCCAAGGCCUGUACGGACUAGUGAUAGGCUUAGGAGAAGGCCGAAAGUGUUUAGUCGGACGUACUUGUAUUAUACUCCAGGUAUUAUUCGGCCCAGGAAAGGCAAAACCAAGACAAGGACUGCAGCUUCUCGGAUUGCCAAGAUGUUGGGUAACCGGGCAGUGCGGGCUGCAAAUGCUAAUGUAAGUGCUCAUAUUUCCUGUAACUUCAUUUCUCUUUUUCUGUCUUUGAGACUUUUUCAUGGACAUUGAACAUGCAAGUAUGGUGAGUUUAUAGAAUGUUUCUCCUUUCUGUUAAUGCUAAUUAGAUUAGUCCAUGAUUUCCUAUGCUUAUUCCUAUCAAGGACUCUAAAAUCUGACUUAUGCUGUUUGUGAUUUUAUCACAGUCAGUUCCAACCAAUCUUCGACGCUCGACAAGAAAGAGGAGGCUAUCUGCUCAUCUUGAAGAUUACACAGAUAGUUCUGGAUCAGAGGAUGAAGACUUGAUGGUUAGAAUCUAUACUCUUGCAAGCCUUAAGUUUGUGUAUUCAUGUUACAACAAUUUUUUCUCAACUUGUAUGGGUUUAAGCUUGGGGUAGUAAAAAUGAUUUGUUCUCCACUUUUCACUUCAUGUAAAACUUUGGGUAACAUUAUUUUCAGAGACCUGCAUUUCGACCAUUGAGGAACCGGAUUCAUAAUAGUGCGAGUCAAGAUGAGUUAUCAUCUUCCAAGCGUAAAAAAAAUGCGGAGACAAAAUCAACGCCUCGACGUGAAGGGCUGCGACCCCGUCGUUCUAGAACAAUCAUAAAAAAGCCACUGGCUCUGGAGUCUGGGGAUGAGCAAGAUACGUCUGAGGAGAAGGCUGUCCAAGAUGAGACUGAAAAUGGGAAUGAUAUUGAUGAUAAUGAUGCAGAUGAUGGUCAGAAUGAUGAUGAGGCUGAGGAUGAGGGAGAUGGGGAGGGUGCGGGUGAGGGUGAGGGUGAGGAUGAAGGAGAAGAUGACGACGACGACGACGAUGACGACGAUGAAGGUGAAGAGGAGGAAGAAGAGCAGGGUGGAAGGAGGAGAUAUGAUCUCCGAAACCGUGCAGAAGUCCGUAGGCUCUCUAUGGAGGAAGGUAAGCAAAGACCACGAUCUCCUCGAAGGGUAUUGCAUCAAGGAAUGGGGACAAAGGUCAAUAGGGAUGUAAGGAAAGGGGGAUCAAGGGUUCACAAGCGUCAUCGUCUAUCGAGAGCAGAGGAUUCUGAUGAUUCCCUUCUUGUGGAUGAGUUGGACCAAGGUCCUGCUAUUCCUUGGGCUCGAGGUGGGAGCAGAUCCGGACCACCUUGGCUCCUUGGAGGACUAGAGAUGCAUGGGACAACAACUUGGGGAUUGAAUGUUGCUGCAUCUGGUUGGGGCCAUCAAGGUGAUGCUUUAGCGAGCUUGACAUCUGGUGUGCAAACUGCUGGCCCUAGCUCAAAAGGAGGGGCAGAUAUUCAACCUUUACAGGUUGACGAGACUGUAAGUUUUGAUGACAUAGGCGGGCUUUCAGGAUAUAUUGAUGCUCUGAAGGAGAUGGUUUUCUUUCCCUUGUUAUAUCCAGAUUUCUUUGCCAGUUAUCACAUUACCCCGCCAAGAGGGGUUUUGUUAUGUGGUCCUCCUGGUACUGGGAAAACAUUAAUUGCCAGGGCAUUAGCAUGUGCUGCUUCAAAAGCUGGCCAGAAGGUUAGCUUUUACAUGCGCAAGGGUGCUGAUGUACUAAGCAAAUGGGUUGGUGAGGCUGAAAGGCAAUUGAAACUUCUUUUUGAGGAGGCGCAAAGGAACCAGCCUUCCAUCAUCUUCUUUGAUGAAAUAGAUGGACUUGCUCCUGUGAGAUCUAGCAAACAAGAGCAGAUUCACAACUCUAUUGUUUCUACUCUGCUCGCAUUGAUGGAUGGUCUGGAUUCUCGUGGACAAGUUGUUUUGAUUGGAGCAACCAACAGAGUUGAUGCUAUUGAUGGAGCCUUGCGUCGCCCUGGUCGGUUUGAUCGAGAAUUUAACUUUCCUUUGCCUGGUUGUGAGGCCCGUGCUGAAAUAUUAGACAUUCACACCCGCAAGUGGAAGCAUCCUCCUUCAAAGGAGCUAAAGUCAGAACUGGCAGCUAGUUGUGUUGGCUAUUGUGGUGCAGAUUUAAAGGCACUAUGCACUGAAGCUGCCAUCCGUGCUUUCCGUGAAAAAUACCCUCAAGUUUACACAAGUGAUGAUAAGUUUGUGAUAGAUGUUGAUUCUGUAAAGGUUGAGAAGUAUCAUUUUGUCGAAGCCAUGUCCACAAUUACCCCUGCAGCUCAUAGAGGUGCUGUUGUGCACUCCAGGCCAUUGUCUUUAGUAGUUGCACCGUGUCUGCAAAGUCAUCUCCAGAAAGCCAUGAAUUGCCUAUCCGAUAUAUUUUCACCCCUUGCAGUGUCAACAGAGUUUAUUAAGCUUUCUAUGCUUUCCUAUGGAUCUGCAAUUCCUCUUGUGUAUAGGCCACGACUUUUGCUUUGUGGUUGUGAAGGUUCUGGUCUGGUAAUUAUCUUUUAACCUCUUGAUCUUUGGAAUAUUGAUCAUUAUGGAAACGCCAAACUAAGAGUACUUACUGAUUUAGUUUAACAGGAUCAUCUUGGGCCUGCCGUGUUACAUGAACUGGAGAAAUUUCCUGUUCAUUCUCUAGGACUUCCAUCUCUGCUUUCGGAUCCCAGUGCAAAGACCCCAGAGGAAGCUUUGGUGCACAUAUUUGGUGAAGCACGGAGAGCCACACCGUCCAUUCUUUACAUAUCUCACUUUGAUCUUUGGUGGGAUAAUGUAAGCACAUGCCUCCCUCUGCAAACCUUAGGAAAAUGCAAUAAGCAUUUUUUCUGGUAGUAUAUGCACUUAAUUUUUUCUACAAACCCGAGGGAUUCAUGUUCUUUUAUCUAAUCUGAAACAAUUGACCAUGCUUGCAUAAAAUUUUAUGAUUUUUUAGUGAUUUUUUUUGUCAAGUGCCUUAAAGUCAAUUCCCCUCGUGUCAUCCUUUAUCUGAGCUUUACACACUUGAUGUUGCAGGCACAUGAACAGCUCAGGGCUGUUCUUCUGACUUUAUUAGAAGAAUUGCCGUCUGACUUACCGAUUCUAUUACUUGGAAGCUCUUCAUCUCCACCCGCCGAGAUUGAUGGCGCAUCAUCGGUAUUUCCCGAUCAUUCAGUGUACGUUCUACUUAUUUGAAAGCAACUGUUGCAAUUCCAGUACUGCUGUAAUAAUCAUGAUGAUUAAUUUUAAUUGCUGGUAAUGUUACUUUCAAUUUAUAGUCCUUAUAUGUUACUUUAAACAUCAUUUUAAUAUCCUAAUUUUUAUGUCUAUUCUUGUCAGGCUAACGUAAGAUUAUGUUGAUUUUUUUUUCUUCAAUCAAGUUUGCCAGCGUAAAAGGACUAUUUAUCCUUGUUAGACUUAUUUUAGUACAUACUGGAAUUAAUGUAAACCGUCAUAGCUGAUAAGAAGGUCAUCUUUAGGCAUCAAAAGGCUUUCAGUGCAAGCUUGUAUACCCUUGAAAUUGUUUUGUUCCGCCUUUAAAUAGAUGCAUGGCAUGUACUUGGUACUUGCAAGGACGUUGUUUCCUUGUUGCUGUUAUAUCUGGGUAACCUUACUUAACGCGCCAUUUUUAUAUAAUGAUGACCACAGUAUUUUCUUGCUCAAGCCAGUAUUUUAUUUAUGUUGUCAGCUAUCAAGUGGGCAAACCAUCAACCGGAGACAGAUCUUUGUUCUUUGACCGUUUAAUUGAAGCUGCCUUAUCAGUUGUCCUGGAGGACGUGGCCAAGAAAUCCCAAGGAUCUUCCCCUCUUCCUGAACUUCCUAAGGCACAAAAAGUGGCUAGUGGCCCAAAGGCAUCAGAGUUGAAAGCCAAGAUAGAAGCUGAGCAGCAUGCUCUACGCCGAAUGCGUAUGUGCCUCAGAGAUAUUUGCAACAGGUAAGCUGGCCAUAGUUCUAGUCUUGUCCUUGGAAGAUUGAUAUUUCUUACAUCACAGUUGUGGUUUUGCACAAUAAUAACGUGAUUUACUGCCUUAAUGCAAUAAAAAAUCUGAGGUUAGGAUUUCAGUUGUAGUUUAUUUCAUGUUGAAAUGGUAUCAAGUUUAAUAACUUAAACAAAAUGCAGAUAUCAUAGAGCAUAUUAUAUCAAAGCAAUGCAACAUGGAACUUACACCUUCCUUCAACAAGAAAUUUUAGAUUUGAGUUGCAGUUUCACUAUGCAUGAAUAUUGAAAUGGUCUCAAUGUAAUUCAGCAUGUUGGUUCUAAAGAAAAUGCAGAUAUCACGGAGCAAGAUUCUAUUCGUCUAGUUAAUUUAAGCCAAAUGUAGAUUUCCAAAAAAAAAGGGUCAUUCCCAUAGGCCAUAGCCAUAAUCCUUUUAGCCAAUGAUCAAGAUUUUUUUCUCAAUCUCUAAUCUUUUGAAAAAAUUACCUCUAAAUUUUACUGGAGAAUCAAAAGUCAAAAUAAAUGAAGAGGAUAGGAGAAUCAAGUAUGUGGUGACAAACCAAAAGGAGUUGGAAGUAGCUAAAUGAGAGAUUUAGCGAACAAUUAAGAUCCUGAGGUGAGUGAGAGCAAUGAAAAGUGGUAUGAGUGAGGAAUGAGGUCAAGAAAGGGCAGGUAGACUGCAUGUCUGUGAACAUGCGUGUGUGUGUGUGUGUGUUGGGGGUGGGGGGGGGGGUGUGCUAGAUUGCUUUAAUCCCUAAUGAUGAACCCACUCAACUGGUUACAGUGCACCCUACUUGUUAAAUACAAACCACAGUAUUGUACUUCCCUGCAUCGUUCACUCUUAACCUUCUGGCUACUUUGUUGCAGGGUACUGUAUGACAAACGAUUUAGUGCCUUCCAUUAUCCUGUCACCGAUGAGGAUGCUCCAAACUACCGCUCUAUAAUACAGAACCCUAUGGACAUAGCUACUAUGCUGCAGCGUGUUGACUCUGGUCAAUAUAUCACCUGCUCAGCAUUCCUGCAAGACAUUGAUCUCAUCGUGACCAAUGCAAAGGUGUGUUUGGUUUCUAGCUGCAUUUAGAAAUAAACACGUCUAUUCCUUUGUCCAGUGCAUUUUUUCAUACUUAACUUCGGUGUAUGAUUUUGUAACCAAAAAAACUUUGGUUUAUGUUUUUAAUGUAGGUUUACAAUGGAGAUGAUUAUAAUGGUGCUAGGAUUGUCAGUAGAAGUCAUGAGCUUCGGGAUGCAGUAAGUUCACAUACUAAUUGAUUUUCAAUUUCCUCUCCUCUCCUUUGUUACUGUUCACCUAAAGCAUCAUGGAUGAAGCUUUUCUCAUAAUAUUUUUACAGGUGCAUGGAAUGUUGUCACAGAUGGACCCUGCGCUCGUCACAUACUGUGACAAGAUUGCUGCCCAAGGGGGUCCAGUGCAAGUACCAGAUGAUUUAGGGGGAUCUAUUUUUCCAUCAACCCCAGUUGUGCAGCUGGGAACAACUAGAACAAGUGCCCGGUUACGUAAUGUCCAGCCUGAUGUUAAUCUGGAUCAAAGCUACGAGGCCUUGAAAAGGCAGAAGAAAAAUGCUGAUGCUACUCAUGCUGGUAUGUACUUCGGUAAUUUUAUUUUUUCGUUCUGCUGGUGCCCUUUGUUUUUCCCAAUGAUGUGAAUGAUAUCUUGAAAUAGUGUUAAAUUGCAAGGCACUUAUUUUACAUCUUGAACUACUGGUGCAGUAUACUGAUAUUAUAGAUCAAAAUCAAGUUUACCAACUCAGCCAUUGACUUCCUGUAUACCUCCACGAGAGGAGCUAUUUCAGUUAUGUUAAUGGAUGUGCUCGAAGCCAGAAAGCCAAAUUUUGCUAUUGCCCAUAUUCCAAAUCAACAUCCUCUUCAGCUGUUGCCCUUUUUUGAAGUUUUCAACUCUUAAUUUUCUUGGAUUUGUUAAAUCUAAAUUUUAAUCUUUCUUUCGAUAUCCCUCCCUCCAGAUAUGGCUUUCUGAUCAUGUAUACUUUCUUGAAAACUAGCUUCAACAGCAGAAGACAAAUCACGACAUCAGGAUUCUGUACAGGCAAAGCUGCCAGAGGAACAUGAUACAGACGACAUGAAUCCAGACAGACCUGAGCCCUCUUCGGCUGAUGACAUUCGACAUGAAACUUCAGGAGGAGAAGCUUCUGGUCAUAUCGAAGGGAGUGGGUCCCAAGAUGCUACAAUGUCCGAUGCCGAAGCAUCAAGCCAUGGAGAGUACAUCAAGAGGCUUCUCAUCGAGCGCACUGAAAACUAUGACAUCCCGCAGCUUGAAAGGCUCUACACGCGUAUUAUGAAAGGCAUCUUCGAAACCAAGGACAAAGGCAUCGAAGAUGGCCCCACAUACUCAAUUUUGAGGUUUUUGGUGAAAUUUGCAGAGGACGCUGCAAAUUUCUGAACUCCAUACCUUUUUCCCUUCAACAGAGGAUUAAAAAAAAAAGGAACCAAAAAGAAAAAAAAUCUUGCAGGUAGCUGUUGUAAAUUCGGGAUUUUCUUUUAAAAAAUUAUUGAGUGAAAGCAAUCUCUCCUCUACCCCCCUCCCACUCUCUUUACUUUUUUACCGUUGAAAGACGACGGGCAUAUUUUUCCAUUAGUUGUAAAAAAGCAUUUGCAGAGACUAGAGCCGGAAUUGUGAUGGCCAGUCGCAGUCGCACCCCCAGCGGUGGAACUUGAAACAAAUUGAAUGCACCUUAUAAUGUGGAUCAAGAGAACCCUCAAAAUAUGAUGCUUUAGUUUCAUUAACUACGGUUAAGCCAGUUCAGUUCUGGGAGUUUUCUAAGUGGCCCCGGAAGUUCAGGCUAUAUGAGGAGCACAAAAUUAGCAAAAGCUAUAGGCCAUCUAAUUGCCCAGGGACAGAAGUAGCUUAGGAGAGCUUUCUUAAAGCCUAAAUGCAUUUGCUUGCCUACUAGAUGGUAAUAUUAUUGAGCUACCAGGAGAUGUUUGGCAUGUCUUGCAGUUUGGCCAACAUCUGUUUUGCAGCUGAUUUCCUCGCUUCACGCGGGGAAGGACUCGGGUCACCUACGCUCGAACACUCAAAACCUUUUCCUUUCACGGUCACGUCAGCUUGGAAUCCACCUUAAAAUGGAAAACAAACCUGUAUUAGCCAUAGUUGGUAAAAUAUAUUGCUCUCCGUUUGCAUUGAAUUUGAUCUUACCAUCUAGUAACGACACAUGAUAAGUUGGUAAAAUCCAUUUGUUCUCGUAACAUACAUCAUCCAAGUCCUGCCAAAUGAAUAAUAAGGUAAUUACCAUGUAAAAACGAGGGAAGAAAACAAAACCCUAGCCAGCACUACAGUAUGAGCGCCUUUUUUAUGUGAAAUCUACUUAACAUGCUAUUAUACCAUCACUCUGGUGAUGCAUCUUAUGUUUUUAUCACUUGCAGCAUACUUCGGGCACCAAAUUCCCAGGAGACUGUCGUAAACUAGAGAUGCUCAGUAUGAUAUUGUAAAGAUGAUGCAUGGCGGCCACAUCAGGAUUGCAAGGCACAGGAGUAAAAUACUUGUCACAAUUGUGCUCCAAUAACUUGGGCAUUAACUUGUGUCCUAGCUACAUUAGUUUUCAUUACUGCAAGGCAUUUUUACGUUUUUAAGAUAAAUUGAGGCUCAUCCUACAAAAUCAUGCCAUAAGUAGACCCACUAAGCUUUUUGGAUAUUCUGGUACGGUUUAUGCUAGCAUGGAUUUUCAUGUUGAGUAACAAGACAAAUUAAAGUUCUCUAGUACAAACUUGCCUGGCAUGAGUUUUUCAUAUUGGGCAUAGUGUCUGGCAAUCCCUUCCUCUUGACAGAUGGAGACGAGCAUUGGUCCUCGUAAGUCCUUUCCCGAGAAACACUUCUCAGGGAUACAAGAUUACAACCUUCUAUAAGGGAUUCUAUCUUCAGGGACAAAUUAUCUUCACCACCUAUAAUAGACCAGAAUUUAAGAAGUAAAAAAUAAAUUAUAAUAACAACAAAUUUAGACAAGCUCUUGGACCCUGAUUGAAACUGGACGGUUGGAAUUCUCAUUAAAUGAAAGUACACUUCUAUACUAUUUAGAAACAAGGGGGGGAAUUCCUAUUGUGAGUGUGAUCCAUCAGCAAUCACAUAAAACAUGUUGGAAACAAAGCCAAGAAGUAAACACGUAGACAAGGCAUCUAGAAAUGCUUAUCAUCACAAAAGCACAAAUUAGUUUGAUGAUAAUGUAAAGACCUGACAGUGAAUUCAUGCAAACUGUGCAAUUAGAGCAAGGUUGACGAUAAUGUAGGAAAUGAACAUCCAUGCAAUUAAGUAUUUUCAAGUAUGUAUCUUUUUCUUUAAGUUCACUUUCAUUCUACUUUCCUUAAACUCAAUUACGCUUGCUAACAACCUUUUCUAGAUAUGAGUAUGACUCCUCAUUUAAAGCAAACAAUUCUACAAGACCAGAAUUGGAAACGAUCAUAGAGAUGAUAGAAUUUGUAGUUAGAUUUCUACUCACAUCUCAUCUUAAAUACAUGGAUUUAAAAUUGAAGGAAAAUUAUGACACAAGUUUAAGAAAAGAAAAGAAACCCGGAUCAACUAAAAGACAUGAAGAAAAAAAUACCCUUCAAAAUUGUCUCGAUGUCUUUAUCACACUGAGCAAUCUGAUCUUCAAUGUCUCGUUGCUGGAGAGACUGCAGACACAAGUGAAGAUCUGUCAUGGAAGUUUCCAAUGGGGUAAGUUGGAAGAUGCUUCAAAAUUAGGAACUGACCUUUCAAGCUAGGAACUGACCUUUCAAGCUAGCAUGCACAACAUGUGGAGGCAAGAAUAAUAAUACAUUGACUACAUUAUUUAUAUACAUAGAAGGGUAUGUGUUGACUAGUCCUGGUCUAGAAUGGGCAGAUGUCAUGGAUCAUGAUCACAUUGCCAAUGAGUAGGUUCCAGAUAACUGCCUCAGCAAACACAUCAGACUCUGACCUUAAAGGCAGUCAAAUAAAGUUACUAACCACUAAUUUGAUGAUUGUGAAUGUGAUUAUUCUUCUGGCAUGAUUGAUGUAGAAAAGGAUAUAGAAUCUUAAAGGAAAAAAGUUGUACCAAUCUAUCCCUUUUGCUUAAAACAACUGUCAAUGCAGCAUCUGAAAGUUCCUUUGAAGCUAAGAUGGUGCGUAAUUUGUCAAGAUUUUUGGAGUUGGAUUGACAAGCAACCACAGCAUUAUCAGUUACAGGCAUCCUAUCUUGAUCAGAAACAAUAUUGUUGCAGUUUUUGUUUCCAUCGGCAACAACCGCACCCAUGCAUCCAGUAAUUUGCUGACUUGUUGUCCGGUCAACCAUGUCAACCUGCAUACCCAGAGGCAGAUUUGGAUUAUAUACAAAUAAAUAAACAAUAGAAGACGAGCUUUAUAAGAUUAACAUUAAAAAUAUCCAUCUCAUGAUCCAACUAAAAGGCAUGUGCAUAUAGUCGCAAGUAUUACAAAUCUAACCUUAACCGUAUCACCACUUGCAGAGCCCUUUGAACACUUCUCCACAGUUUCCAUCUUCAUACUUGGCAGGCCCUCUGAACACUUGUCUGCAGUAAUUGUCUUCUUCUGGCAAUUUUGAGGUUGGUCUUUGCCAGAAAAAAUUCUUCUUUUGUAUUUAUUUUGGGUAUUAGCCACAUAAGAUUCAUCCACAUCCAUCUUCUGAGGCCUAUCACAAUCACCAGACAAAUCUACCACGCAACAUCUAUCAUUGACAUUCUGGCUUUGAUGAAUUCAUCUCACUCAAAGAUUGGGCAAUGGUCUCGCUGCCGAGAAGCUCUGCGGCACUAUCAUUUACAUGAUUAUGAAAUCUUUCUGAGACUUCUGCUUCACAAGGUCUUUCAGUCCUAUCAGAGCUGCUUACAUUUAUGGUUUCCAAUCCCAUUCUUGGAACUUGCACACCAUCAGAAAGCCCUUCUCUGUUUAGAAGACAAAUUCAUCUCCAAAUGAUAAGUGAAGAUAGUUCUAAAAAUCAAAAUGAUAAGAGGCAAAGCCUAUAAAGUUAUUCCCCCCAACUGACAUUAUUUGAGCAGCCACCAAUUUCUGCAGCAAUCUACAUGACAGUGUUCAGAGAUUUUAAGAUAAAAAUGAAAGCAACAAAAACACAUGGGUUAUAGCUGAAGGACUUCUUUAUGAUUUUGAGUUCUAGAUGAUUUGAGAUUAUUAACUAAUAGUUCACAUUCAGCCACGUGCAUUCCAAGUUAAGGCACUCUUGUGUCAGGAUAUUAGCUUUAAAAUGGGUAUUUCCAUGAAAGACAUACCAGAGGUGAAACCUCCCUGUCAAAAAUAUAAAUGGAUAAAUAACUGAAGGUGAAACCUAAUCAACCAAGAAAACUAGCUAGUCAUGGGUGCCCAGACUAGGUUUGAAAUCAAUACUCAUAUGAGGGGGGAAAUGGAAAUCCAUGGGCACUGAGAAGGAAAGCAUGCAAUAUAGUAAAAGACUACAGCCAGUCAUGGUUCCCUACAAACUAUGUCUUGGAAGAGAAUUUGAAGAUAGUCAUACUGGUCAACAUUUUUGCAUGAAGGUGAAUUCAAACACACCUUGUGCUUUACAUGCAAGUCUUUUAUCAUUGCACCAAAUAAUGGUCCUUGAAAAUAUACAAACUAGUGACUAAAGUAAAGUCAUAUAUCCAGGACACUUGCAGUAAGGAAACAGAAUAACAAAAGUAAGAUUAGAUUUAGUUCAGCCAAUUAAUUUUUUCAUCCAAAGACAUGGAAACCACAAUACCACAUACUAAAAAAUUAAAAAAACAAAUUGAAAUAUCCAAAACAUAUCCUAUUAACUAAAUCUAUGGAUGGGAUGUCCAGGUGCAUGCAAAGUUAUUUCCACAUAGCAGAGCUCACAGACAAUAAUGCAUUCCAGAAUUUUCCACACCUCAAAAGCCAGUCUGACAGAACCUCAGCAUAAGGAAGCAAAAGAAAGUAUUCAACAACUGAGGUAUGCGUCCACCAACUUGAACUCUUUAUGGCCAGAGGGCCCUGCAAGCUACACGGCAAAUACAAGAUGCUGCAUUAGAGAUUUCAGAGAUUUGUUUUUCUUCUACAAUUAUCUAGCACAUUUCUAAUCAAACAAUGUCCUAUUCUAGCACGCCUGAUUUGACAAAAUCUGAACAGUUGGUGGGUUCAAUUUUGUGGUGGAAGCAUUAUGCAUCCAAAGAUAUCACCAUAUAAUAUUCUCACCUUUUUAAUCAAAAAGAAAAACGUGAUUAUAGUUAUCCAUCAACGCUCUGUGCUAGCCCCAUUACAUUUGAAGAUAAAUUAGUACAAACCAAUAAAAUAACGAUCCCACCAGUGAGCCAAUGUUAAACUGUUACAAUCCACCAUCAUAACAGAAUACAUACUACAACACUUUAUCAUAUUAAAUGAUUAUCUUAAGAUAGACUAUGGUGCUUCAUCAUGUUAAAUGGUUUAUCUUAAGAUAUACUUUGGUUGAUGUUUAUAAUCUCACCAAUCAAGAAAAAUAACAAAAAAGAGAGGGAAGUGCACUAUGAUAAUGGCCAAAAGGUAAUCUAAUUCUCAGUGGUUUCAACCAAACACGUUUUUGUGCUAACUGUAAUUACAUCAUGUGAGGGCAUUAAUGUGUGCUUUAGGAAUUCAUUAUUGCCUAUAUGAUAAUCAAUUAAACCAUUUCAGCUGAUCCAAAGAAAAUUGAAGGGCCCAUUCAACUGGUAGUUAACAUGCAGCCUUUACACUAAACAAAAAAAAAACAAAUGCCGAAUGUAUUGCUGGGUGGUUAUAGGGUAAAAUGAAAAGAAGGAGAAAGACCUAUUGAUAGUAUUCUUAAUCGGGAUUUGAAGAGCAAUGCUGUUGUCUGCUUUGGUGAGUUGCAUAAUAUAAAAAUAAGCAGCUGUCUUUUCUUUACUUGUAGAAUACGUGACAUGGCUUUCCAAAACCACAAGGUCGCUUUGAUCAAUACCUGUUCCCCAUACAACAUAUCCCAUUAAAAAUUAAUAUUCAUGAUAAAAAUAAAAUAGUGUAUCUAGAAAAACUGCUUAUUUUCUCCACAUGCAUUAAUCAUAUUCAAUCAGGUACAUUUAGGAAUAAGUAACUAGUGCACUCUAGCAGCUGCAGGAAAGGUCAGAGAAUAAAGGAUUAGGUGCUUAAAUUACAAGCUAACAACAGCAUAUGUUCACUAAACUCAUCAUGCACAGAGCCUGAUUAAAAAUUUAACUUGGCUGAACGGAAAUGCACAAAUAACAAAAACUACUUAACUAAUAUCCAUGCACAAAAUCUUUUAACAUACUAACAUCAUAUACCUGUUGCUUCCUUGACAGCUGAAAAUGCAAAUUGCUGAAAGCGAUCUUCAUUGCUGCUCGAUUUACCUUUCAAGGGUUUUUUAAUAAUUCGUUUCUUUUUGUUUACAUGAUCAGAAUCCAUGGUACCCUCCAAGCUGUUACUAGAGACAUCCACAUCUUUCUCAAUCACUGACCAGACCCCCUCAGUAAUGGAGCCAAAUUGCAAAAAGCAAUUCUCCUUCCUGGAGUCUACUAAAAAAACUGCAACCUUGGAAAUUGGCCAUCCAUCAAUGUUUAGAUCGUCUUCUGAUGCAUCUAGGCUCAUAGAUAUGCUACAUGCCUCCAUAAUACUUUCCUCCAUCAAUGGAAAUGGUUGAGACUCAGUGUCAUUUGAUCUUUGCAAGAGUCUUAUAUGUGCCAUUAAAGCAGGUUUGAUAACCACAGCUAGCUUGCAGAAGUUCUCAAAACAUAAAAACUCAAGCUGUGGAUAUUGUUUCCUGUGAUAGUAGUUGUACAGUAAAACAACUGCAUGAACCUAGAGGAAAAAAACAAAUGAGAAGUUAAAAAGAUGUUGGCAAAGGGAUGAGAGAGAGCAAUGAUGUCUGCAUAUACGUAUUUAAACAAGAGUAUAUGGGUAUGAUUUCCAGCACAAAUGAGCCAAUAUAAGAUGGAUACGUGAAUGUAUUAGGAUACACAUAAUUCCAGAAGAACGAUUCUGGAAACCCCCCCCCCUCGUUUCCUUCUUAUGUCUUUCUUCUUAUUUCUUGAACAUUCUUUCCUCAUAACUUACAAUAAUUUCACGGUUCAAAUAUCCCUCAUAAAUUCAACAGUCAAAGUACAUGUGGUAACAUUUUAUAUAGAUUUUCCCUCCCUCGUUUCCCUUUUAUGUUUUUCUUUUUAUUUCUUGAACAUUCUUUCCUCGUAACUUACAAUAAUUUAGCAGUUCAAAUAUCCCUCGUAAAUUCAACAGUCAAAGUAUGUGUGGAAACAUUUUAUAUAAACUUUCCCAAUGAUAAUAUCAUUAUAUAGGCUAAGAUAUGAAGCAUACUAACAUAUGAGAGAAAGUGCAGGAAAAGGAGGAUGGCUGUACUUUUCCUUAGUUCAAGAUGAUUGACACUACCCCAAAUGUUGAUCGUUAUGGUACAUGGAAUAGCCACAAGAAUUUAAGUUUCUGUAGAGUUCGAUCCAGGGUUUGUAGGUUUCCUUAUACCAUUAUAGCACAUGGAACAGGGUUGGUGUAAGUGAAACCAACCCUCAAUGCUCCUCCAUUCACCCAGGUUGCUUCAGAUAAAACCUUCUUGGUGCUUUAAAAGGCCUGGUGAGCAAGAGACAUCUCUACUUUGAUAGAAUUAGCUUCUCAUGGAGGAUAAAUAUUUUUGUAAACUUAUGUUUGUUUGCCCUUAUUUUUCUGCCUUUCAGUACAGUAUACAGAAUUUUAUUAGUUCAAGGAAGGACCAUAGAAACAAGUAUAGAUCUUCAAUAACUGUUUUUAGAAAAAGCCUAGAAAUACUUUGGCUUAAUGAAUCAAGAGAUGCAGAAGGAACCACAAAUCAUAGGAAAACAAAACGAUGAAGUUGCAAUAACUAAGUUUAUUUAAUAGAUGUCAAGAUUGUUACAGUCAAUAUGAUACCAAGAAGGGAAAUGCAGGCAUCAUUCAUGAAUGAUGAAACCAUGGCUUAUGGAGGCACGAGUAGGGCCCACCACAAUGUGAUUGGGUGCACUUCUUGUGCCUGUUGGAUGGGUGAGGUAGCGUCAUUCACAGGUGAUGGCAGCAUUUCUCAUGCUAAAAAUAUUGCUCUCCAAGAAAAGAUGUUUAUUUGACAAUUCAUUUACUACAAAAAAUAUGUUCACCUGAUAAUCACAUGGUUCAGAGACAAGAUUUGUGAACUAUAAAUGAAGAGUCACCAGAAAGAAGAAACGGCACCUGUUUUGCGAUUGAUUCCUGGGCAAUUUGUGAUAUAUCUCCCUUUGCAGAAGAUUUUCCUUGUAGUUUUGGAUCAACCAGGUAUUCUAAUAAUGCAGCAAUAAAAUCCUCAGUUGGACAUGCAUCUGCUACAUCCAAGGCUUUUGAAGCCAUUGGAGCACAACUCGCCCUUCAAAUCCUCACAAAAGGCACAAAGAAAACAAUGUAACAAAAACUUCAGCCUCCAAAGAUUCAUCACAGCAAGGAAAAAGCCUACAUAUAAUAGAGAUGGAAGCUACAAAACUAUCCCAACAUCAACAUCUUUCUUGAUCAUUUAGCAUCAACAUGUUGUUAAGAUACUAAACACCAGAAACUUCAUAACAUCAUAGUAUCAACCCCUUAAUUGCAUGGCACUAAAAAGCUACCUGCUUUUAAAGACCAAACCAUGAGCCUUAAUUUCAUUCUCCUUAAAAGAAAUACCAAAUAAAACCAUAACAAUAGCUCAGAUUUUCGAUCAUGUGGUACAAUAACAAAAAAGUAAUAAAAUCAGAAGCCCAGAUGGCGAUUUUUAGUGAUUUUCUAAAUUCAACAACCUCUACCUUGAAAGCAAGCAACUUUCAUUACAGAAAUUAAAAAAAAAAUCAAAACUUUAUCUUUAUAUACCAUAAAGAAUGCACCAACAAAGCACAAAAAUACUAAAAAAAAAACACCCUGAAAUUCAAGCACAAGAAAAGAACAUUCACUUUGCAUUAGCAAAUUAAAAUUUUCACAUAAAAAACCACAAAGUACCAAAUUAUUAACCCAAAUCCUUAUAAGAUCAAACACUUCUCUUACCAAACCAUAAGAAUUCCCAAAAAAAAACACUAAAAAGCUAAAAAUUCAGGGAAAAAAUUUCAAAAUUAAAACCUCACCUAAAACCCGGAACAAGUAAUGUACUAAAGACAAAAUCAGAAAAUUAUGUUUUUUUUUUCUUUUUGGUGAGUAAAACAAAACAUGCAAGAGAUUAAUGAGUAAGAAAUUAAUGGUAGUUAAUCACCAAAAAUCACUCCUUAAGAGACAAAGGAAGCAAGUACAAACUAGAAGUGCAUAUGUGGGCUCUCUCUCUCACUGUGCCAAAUGGGAAGGCGCCAAGCCCUCAAGUUGAUACAAUCAUACAAAUCUCAUGUGGGCCGUAAAGCCCUAACUCUAUUCCCAUCUAAUGUUAUUUUUUAUCAUUAAAAAAGGACUUUCUCCAAAUAUUUUUAACCAUGGUUAUAAAACACGGUACGGGUCAUGGCCGUAUUUAAACUCCAAUUCAUGGCUUGGAUAAAUUAAUCCAAAACCUUUUCUAUUACUAAGAAGAAGUAAGCUUAUACAGAGGGCAUAAUUUAAUUGGUUAGGUUUUAAAUUUAUUAUUUAAAAGUUACUAAUUUGAAUUUCAUAAACCUCAAAGCUAUCGAAAAUUUACAUGGUUGUUAAUUUCAGGGCCCGUGAGAUUAAUCAAAAUACGUUCAAAUUAACUCGGAUACUCACAUUAAUAAAAAGAAAACGACACAUAAUCAAGAAAGUAGAGAAGGAAAAAUAGUUGCCGAAGACAUGCCAUGGUUCCUAGGUUACAACUUACAUGCGCUACCUUGUGGGAAAGACGAUUCCGCCAUGAUUAUAGUAGCAUCAAGAUCGACUACAUUUUGAUGUUGAAGGCAUAGUUUUGAAACCAAGCACCGUUCUAAUGUCAUGGCUUCUCCCAUAUGUUGGCAUACGUAGUGUGUGUGCCGACCUUUCUCUUCUUCAUUUGUGUAAUUUAGCCCUUAAAUCUAUGAUAGAUUUUCAAUUUAGGUUCCUAUUUUCAUGUUACCUGAGCCCAAGUUCUCUUUCUUUAAUUUAGUCUUUAUUGUUUUAAUAACUCUUUAAUUUAGGCCCAUCAUGGAGGAGGAGAAGGAAAAUGGAAAAGAAAAAAACAUUUGUGCUCUGUUUGUUUCAAGGAAAACGAAUUCCUGGAAUUCAUUUUCCUUACUUCCCCAUGUUUGGUAACAAUAUGAAACAGUAAGUCAACGGAAACUUAAUUCCGGUCAACAUAAAAUCACUGCUUUGAGAAAAAAAAGUGUUUUUCUUCUGUUAAAGAAAGGAAAACACUUUUCUUUUGGCGUGCGUAGCGCACGCCUGCCCAAUGAAUUAUUAUUCACUUGCUACAGUAGCAGUGAAUUAUAAUUCGCUGCUACUGUAGCAGUGAAUUAAAAUGCAAAGGUGUGGUCUGCUGCUCUGAAGAUGAAGACGAAGUCGAUUCUCUUGGUUUAUUUUUAUUUAAGUCUUGGGUUUUUGAUUAAAUCAAAGUUUAAUUAAGUCCUCAAUCUCAUUAAUUCUUCAAUUAAACUCUUGAUUUCAUUAAUUAAAAUAAUCUAAAAUUUAAUUAAAUCAAUUCUCCAAUUAAACCCUUAAUUUAAUUAAUUAAACUAGUCAAGAGUUUAAUUAAAUCUUUAAACUUCCAAUCAUGUUGCCCUUAACCCAAAUUUUAAUUCAUCCUUCAUUUAUUUUAUUUUUAUUUUUCAUCAUUUUUUUAAAAUAAUAAAAAUAAAAAAGGUCAAAAAUUGGGUUAUGACAAUUGUAAGUGAUUAAAUAUUUUAUAUAUAUUAGAUAAACUUGAAAAAAAAUUUAAUUCAUUAAUAAAUUAUUUUUCAGUUCAUUUUCCAUAACACAACCAAACACUGAAAAGUGUUUUCCAGUUCAUUUUCCAUAACACUAUCAAAUAUCGGAAAAUACUUUUCCGGAAUUCACUUUAAAAAAAAAACCACUUUCCUGCAAACAAACGGAGCCUUGGCUAACCGGGUUAGUUUAAUUUAAACAUACUCAUGAUUAGAGUUAUACAUGCAGCAAUUAAUCCAGAUUUAUCAAGGUUGACAGUAACUCAAUAUCACAAAAUAUAUAUAACUCAAUAUCACAAAUAUAUAUAUAUCCACGAAAUUAAAUCGGCUUCAGUAUUGAUUUGGUAAGUAACAUUACUUAAAAAAAGCUACCUUUUUUGUAAGUAUAUGUCUUUGUUUCUUGUAGUAGAGAAACACAUGUAUUUUUCAUUACAUAAUCAGUUUUUUUGAAUUUUAUAGGAAGCACUUGCGACGCCCGCACAUUCUUUUUUGGCAUCAUGUAAAAAAAAAAAAUGAUAUAUAGAACAAAGCAAAAGACAACUAUCUAGUUUCUUGCUUGUUGUAUUGUAUGUUUGUAUCAAAAGAGGGACAACAAGUUUGACCAGGUUCAUUGAAUGUAAUCAACGUACUCAACACAAUUUGUAGUUUACUUCUGUUUUUCAAACUUAGCCCAAUCAAAUCAAAAUUGAAAGACUUAAACAUUGCAGUUUUGAAACCCGAUUUGGUCUGGAAUCUGGUUAAUCCAGAGCUAGAAUCAAGCCAAGUUGAAAAAAAAAUAAGAAAAGAAAAAACUCGAUGUGCCCGACUAGUCAACCCAGGACUAGAAUGGGGCCGAGUUGAUGAACAACAAAGAAAGAAAAAACCCGGUGUGACCUGGUUGACCCAACGAGUUGACUUAGUCAAAAAUCUGGUUAUAACCCACUGACUUUUCUUUGUUUGUUUUUUUUUUACUAAAAAGAUGUCUUUUUGAUUUCUUUUAAAAGAAUUGACCCGGACAACCCGAUGACUUGAUCAAAACCUGAAACCCGGAUCUUAGACUGGGCCGGAUCUAAAAACUAUGCUUAAUAAAUUAACCCGUGAUUCUGCCAACUCAAUCAAAAUUUAAUUUGAUUUUUUAUUUUGAUUGACUCGAAUUAACAUGUUCAAUUCAUAAUUUAAAUUUUGUUGAGUACACAUAUAUGCUUAUGCUUGUGUGUGCAUAAAUAUCUGGAUGUAUCAAGUUUUGUAUUGUAUCUGAAAGUUUUAGUUUUUUUUUUUCAAGGAUCAAACUAUAAAUGAUGAGUUCUUGAGUGAUUUUUUCUUGCAAAAAAUCAAAUUGUGAAUCGACAAAAUUAGUUGACCUUGACUCGAUCCAUCAAUUCUGAGGGGAUUCGAUGAUCGUUUUAAGAUUUAAGGAAUCCAAUAUAACUCGUCGCUUUCUAAUAUAUAUUGAAGAAUCAAGUUUAUGGAUUCAAGUACACAUUCACAGAAUCAAUGAUCUGCGUGAGAGAAAAAUUUCCUGGUUUGUUAUUAUUUACUAUCAAAAUAAAUUUAUUUCCGACAUGGAUAAUCAAGGCAAAUAAUAUUGUCUUCAAUAAAUUACAAAUGAAAAGAUAUUGUAAUCUCAAAUAUUCUGCAUUUUUUCUAUAAUAAAAAUCACAGUUAUUAAACCCAACUUGAUAUGAUAGGUUGAUUUUGAACCCAUGUCUUAUCCCUUAAUCUAGAAUAAGCAUUUAAUUUUCAAUUUUAUUUUUUAAAAAACAACAACAGUAUUUUGGCUCUUGAAAAAAAUAAAAAUAAUAUUAUUUUAAUAAGUUUAUAUCAAUUUAUGUUAACAUAUCUAGAUCAUGACUAGAGUGUUUUUUUGAAUAAUUUUGCACAUCAAUUAAAAUUAAAUUUUAAAAAUAGACUCUUUUAACUUAGAAGAAACAUUUGAUUUUUAAUUUUUUAAAAUAAUAAAACAAUGUUGUUUUGAUUUAAAAAAAAAACAAAAGCAAGAUUGUUUUAAUAAAUAUGUGUCAUUUCAGAUUAUAUAUCCAACUUCUAAAUCAUAAACUAAAAAAGUGUUUUUGAACAAUUUACACGGUAAUUAAAAUUAGAUUUUAAGAACAUUCUUUACACAUCGAUUUAGUACACAGAAAAACUUAGUAAGGCUUUCUAUAUAAUUGGUCUUAUAUUUAAAUAAAAAAUAGAUAACAAUAACAAUAAUUAUAUAAAAUUACUUUCUUGUUUGAUUAAUGGGAUAUAAAGUAUAGUUUUAAAAUCCAGUUUGGCUCAGCUGGUCAACCCGGGAUCCAGGGCUGGAACCAGGUUGAAUUGAAAAAAAAACAGGGAAAUAAAAAACUCAGUGUAACCUGUCAACCCAAUAAAAAACCUGGUUGCAACCUGUUGAUUUUUGUUUUAAUUUUUUUUGUUUUUAUUAAAACAACGUCGUUUUGAUUUUUUUUUAAAAUUGACCCGGACAACCCGGUCAAAAUCUGGUAUUCGGGUCUUAGACCGGUCCAGAUCUAAAAACUAUGAUAUAAAGAAAAUUUUAAUUAUUACAUGUAUAUAAAUUAAGUUAUAAAGUUGAACUGAAUUAAAUACAGACAAGAUGCAGCACUCCAAGAGCACACGCAUGCGUUGACCAUGAUUAUGUCGGAUUGAAACCCAACAUUCACGCAAAAUAUUCAAAUCAUAUGGGUGCUAAUGUUACAUAAACAAUUCAUGAAUGUGCUGCGAAUUCAAUUGAUGUUAUCAUGAGGAUUUCAUUCACAAUAAAUAAAUCAAGUGCUGGUUAUUUAUUUAUUUAAUGAGGGAUGGUCGGUGCUCCUAUUUAAUUUUAAUUUCGAAACAUAUUUAAUUAAUUCUAGACAAGUAUAAUAAAAAAAAAUGAUGGAUACUCUGUUAAUAAUCUCUUAAAAAAAAUUAUAAAUUAGUUUUGGAAAUCAUAUGCUAGUUUCCUGAUCAAAUUGAUUAUUAAUUUUUUACGAGAUCGAGAAUUCUGAUUACAAUAAAGGAUAUCUUAAAAAAAUAAUUAAAUUAUCAUAAAGAAUCAACAGAAGACUAAUUAAGUUAUUAAAAGUACAGUAUGACUCAAUAUUAUUUUUUAUUAAAAAGAGUUCAACUAAUUAUUUUACUACGUACGAUCAAUUAUAAAAUCAUAAUAUACUCUAAAUAAAAUAUAUAUCAAAUGUGGCUUCAAACACAACAAUCAGGCGGCGAGAAUAAGAGUGAGUAAAAAGCUUGAAAAAUUGAUUAAAUAAAAAAAACUGAAAAAAAUAAUUAAAAAAAUUAAAUUAUAAAAAAAAAUUGAUUAGAAUUUUAAAAAAACUGACUGGUUCGGUUUCAGUUUUAUAAGUCUAAAAUCAAAAAAACCAAACCAAACCGAAAUAACCGGAAAAAAAACUAAACCAAAUAAAAAAAUUUGAGUCAAACCAAUUUGAACUGUUUUUGUUCUAAACAAACAAAAUCGAACUAAAAAUAAUUACUUCUCUAACAAAAAUAAUAGGUUAGCCAUGAAACACAAGUCAGUAGCCAAAAAAAGGGGCAUAAAUUAGUGGUAGAGUUAAACCACCGAUUGUUUUUCUGUGUAAAGACAAGGAAUUAUUAUUUUUUAAAAUAUUUAUAAAUUUAUUUUAUAUAAAACAUACUUUUAAAAAUAAUAUCAUAACAUUUUCCGCAAAAACUUUAAAGCUUAUAUAAUGAUUCGAUACAAUCACUGUUUAUAUGAUCACAUCAAACGAAUCUGCUAGCUUAGGCUAAUUCAAUGGACAUCACCUUCAAUGAUUAGGCAUGAGUGCUUUACUUUUUCCACCAUGAAAAUCUCUGCGAAAUCUAAUUGCUUUGACUCGUAUAGAGCUAAAUUAGUAUGAACGGGAGAAUUCUGCAGAUUUUUUUUUUAUUAUUGUAUGGAUUAUUGCUUUGAUAUUCAAGGCUGCAUUCAUAUUCCAACAUGUAAUGUAUGUAAGGUUUUGCCCUGCUUUAUAAUCAACGAGCACACUAAUUUUUCUCCUACUCUUGUGAAUUUUCUCAUGUCUCAUAUUUAAAAGUUUUCUUCUCAUUUUCUUGUUUUAUAUGUUUUGUUCCUUGUAUGCAUGUACCUUGAUGAAACCAUAUUGAAAGUUGUCUGCGGCUUUAGUGUUUUUAUUUUUUCUUUAUUUUUUAAAUUUAAAUCUUGAAAUCAACAUUUUAAAAAAGUAAAACUCCUUUUACAUCAUAUUUGUUUACAAGAUAAUCCGUGUUUGGCUUAGAAAAACAUAAAAAUAAUGUAUAUUUUAAAAUAACAUUACCGUGUAAACAAACAACCUCUUCAUAUGAUAAAAAAAUACAAGAAAUUAAUGUGUCGUUGUUAAAGAAGCUAUACAAGAGUCCUUCAUCAGAUAGAUUUUAGGCACAACAUUGAUCUAAAAGCUUUAGAUAUUGAGGUAGACUUGACAACUUCUAAUUAUAAGCUUUGUCUGAGAUGAGAACCUGGAAAGGACAUACAUAUUAAAACGAUCAUGUUGACCCUUGUUGAGCUUGCUAUGCAUAAACACAUUGCAGAGGCAUUUUUUUUUUUUGCAGAUUAUCAGGGAGGAGGAUCCUUGUCUAAUAAUUCUUAAGAUUGUUUGAUAAUAAAACUUAAUCUUGAUUCUCAGAAAUAUAUAAAUAAACCGAUUCAAAAAUAUCUGUAAACAUAAAAAAAAAAAAAAAACAGAAAAAUAUUUAUUUCCCUCUCAUGAACAAAUGUGUAUUUACGUACUCAUUUCUCAUAUUCAUAAAGGAUCACCAUCUUACAGAAAACAUAACAUCAAUGUACUAUAGUAUGUAUCAAGGGUAAUGUUAGGAAAUAACUUUGACAUAUCUUUUAUAUAAAGAAUAUAUAUCCUAUGUAUAACAAUUUACCUUUGUAUUCCUAGAUUGUAGCUAGUAGUAGUUAGUGUUGGUAAAUGUUGGCUUAAUUUAUAGGAGAAACAAAUGUGUGGGAAAGAUGUUCUAUGAUGGUCUGCUACUAUACACACACACACACUAACCAAUAUUAAUGAUAAUUCACUUCACAAAAUUAUCUUUUUUUCAUGGUAUUAGAGCUAGGUUAAAAUCACAAAUUCAUUAUCAAUGCACUCUAAUCUUUUUGUGUAGCUUCCCUUCAUCCUUUCUGUCAUCAUGGCUAAUGAAAAAAAUCCUUGUGUCGGUGGUACAUCAAAGCCAAAGAUUCCAAUCCUCUUUAUAGAUGUAUCAAAAACAAAUCUCUGCAACCCUUUUUUUCACUCAUCAUUUAGAUCAUCAGGUUUGAUGUUGAUUUCCAAACCUUUGAAUGGAGACAAUUAUUCAGUUUGGAAAAGAGUUAUAACCAUGGUUUUGAAUUCUAAAAACAAGUUAUGUUUUGUCAAUGAUACAAUCAAAUCCUCAUUAGAUAAAACAUAUCCUUGAUGGUUAUGCAACUUGGUCACGUUGCAAUGACGUGGUCCACUCAUGGAUCACCAACACCCUAAAUCUAGAAAUCUCAGAUAGUGUGAUUUAUUAUACUACAACUCAUGAAGUUUUGGAAGAUUUUCGUGAACGAUUCCCUUAAAGUAAUGCACCACGCAUCUUUGAAAUUCAACAAAAAAUUACUUAUCGUCAACAAGAACAACUCUCAAUCUCUGCAUAUUACACAAAAUUAAAAGGCUAGUGGGAGGAACUGACAUUUUACAGUGAUGCAUCUUAUGGAGCCUAACAAGAUCAACUAAAACUGAUGCAGUUCCUGAUUGGUUUGAAUGAAUCCUAUAGUGCUAUUCACGGGUAAAUUUUUUUAAUGAAUCCUCUUCGCUCUAUAUGCCAAGCAUACUCCUUUGUUUCCCAUGAAGAAAAAAAGAGACUUCUCGCUACACAUACAGGAUCCAUAAGUGAACCAUGUCAUUGCAUAAAGGAAAAAAUCAGAAAAACAUUUAUUUCCCUCUCUUGAACAAAUGUGUAUUUACAUACUCAUUUCUGAUAUUCAUAAAGGAUCACCAUCUUACAGAAAACGUGACAUCAAUGUACUAUAGUAUGUAUCAAGGGUAAGCUAGCGAUCUCUUUAUCACCCAACUACAAGGAAGCUACAGGUAUGAUCAAUAGUCAAAGGCAACCAGUGCUUGUUGGAUAUAUUAUUGAAUGAGAAGAAGAUCAGCAACUACUGAAUACAAUAUUCAUCAUCCCCCAAUUAAGCGCAAACCAUAUUUCUUGAUAACAUAGUAAGUACGUACUUGCUACAUGACUAGAGAAACAGAAAAUCAACAAGAACUAGUUCGUCCAAGACCAAAGACUAGGAAAUGGCUGCUCAUGAACAGCGGGCUCUAGCUCUUCUUGCUGGUUAACAUAAUAGUGGCCACUACUAGCACACAAUGCCGGUAGAUAAGGAUGGUAUGGAGAUGGUGGCGGCGGCUGCUGCAUAUUGUUCCAUUGAUUAUGAGGUUGCUGAUCAUAUCCGCUGUAAUGAUCCAAUGGCAUUGUUGAAUCUGCAGGCACCAAAGUUUCCUCCUCGUGCUGCUCCGCACCGGCAUUUGUCGAGCUUCCGGCUUCGAAAUCAUUCCUCGAUGAAUGUUGUCUCUUAAUACUCUCUAUCUCUUCUUGCAAACUUGGUUUUCCCUUGUAUUUAAUCUUGCAAAGCCUCCACUCCUAAUUGAUGAAGCAGACACGAGAAUUUGGGAUAUAAUUACUUAGACUGGUUAGCAAGGAAUUGCACACACACAAGAUAUAUUGAUCACUAGCCAGUACUACGUACCGUGGUUCUUGAUUCAAGGCUAUAUUCAUGCAUAAUCCAAUUAGUCUUGACGGCGUUAUUGCGGUUUCUUUCAUUGUCCUUGAACCUAUGGAAUGUCAAAGGCCUCUUGUUCCCAACAAGAAGUUGAUGGUCAUUAGCAUAAACUUUCUUGACAUGGCUUGUAGCUUUCCACCAUCCUCGACCGAGUACUUCCCUCGAAUCAUUUAUCUCCCUCUUACAAUAGUAGAAUCUCUCGCCAUUGCUUAAAGCCGUGGAUUGACUCCCUGUAUGUAAAAAUGUUGUAGAGCUUAUAAAAGUUAAAUAGAAAAUUUCCAUGGAUGGACAAGAUAAUGGAAUAUUAUGAUGCUAUCAAACUUGAACCCUAGACAAUACAGCUAGCAGAACUGUAGGUUCAAACCAUGCAUUUAACAUCAUUGCAGAGAAAUGGAAAGAAAAAACUUGAGCCCUACAUGCUAUAGAACAAAGAGAGUAGUAGUGCAUAUAUAUUACACACAUUCAAGAUCCUGUGGUUCACGCUCAUAAACAUUCAUUUCAAGAAUGAAAUGGAGUGGCAUUUCGUGGCCAGAAGCUUUUCUGUCUAGGACUUGGAUGAGCUCUUCGUCAGUGGGAUUGAACCUGAACCCAUGAGGCACCAUCUUCAAGUAUAAAAUGACCUAAUUUCCCUUUUUGUUUCAGAGACCUGAUUCUGUGAAAGAUGACCAGCAAUGUCGCUUCUUUAUAUAGAGGAGAGAAACUAAAAGAUGUAAAGAGGAAAAAGAAAGCACAAACAUUGAUAACACGACACAAGACGAAGAGAGAGAGAUGCUACAUUCUGCACUCCGCAAAAGAAAUCAUGCUGGGUCCAUAUUAGGAGACAAAUUACGUCGCAAGCAAUGACUUGACAAAAUUUAUAAUUAUGAACAUUUUGAACAAUGGAAAAACAAAAGGUAAAUAAAGUAUUUAUUGCUGUGAUUGUUCCGGAUUAUGUUUUUCAGUGCUUUUUAAAACUGAUUUUUACCUUAAAAUAUAUUUAAAAUAAUUUUUUUAUAUUAUUACAUUAAAAUGAUCAAAAACAACUACUAAUUUAAUAUUUUUUAAAAUAAACACAAUCAAAUACAGUUUCAACCACAAUACCAAACAAUCAUGCAAUAUUAUUAAAUUUAAAAUUAUAUCAUUUAAAAAUUAUAUAUAUAAAAAAUGAAAACAUCUACUAAAAAUAUUUUGUCUCAUUUACCAAAAAAAAAAAAAUUAAUAGAUAUAUUCCAUCAGUAAUGUUUGACAAAAAUAAAAAAAAUCUUGUAAUCCAGCGAGCAAGCUACUUUGAAACUAACUAGGAUCCGCAAGGCUCGGUUGAACUAGCAAAUCUACUCGUUGAAUCGUUUAGAAAAGAUCCUAUAUAGCUUUAGGUUCAUGAAUUUGGUAUCUCUAGUUAUCUUUUAAUUAAAAUUAUCCACUUAUCAUUUUAUCAUUUUAUAUUUUUUAGGGAUAAAUUAUGCUAGGGCUUCCUAAAUUACUGAUCAGAGAGCAAGUAAUCCGUAUCCAAUUUAUUGACCGUUAGAUAGUCGUCGUUGAAGAAAAUUGAAGGUAGAUUAGAUUUUUCAUUCAAACGGGGGUUGGUAUUUAUCAAAUGACUAGCACGUGACACGUAAAUUCAUGUCCUAAAUACUAUUAAUUAAUUUUGGAGUAAUUUAGUCAACAUUUAUUAACGCAUUUCAAAAGAACUUAAUUUUUUUAAAAAAUAUUUUUUAUAUCUCUCUCUCUCGAAGCGAGAAUUGUGAAAAUAAUUCUGCAUUAGAAUAGGUAAGAGGAGGGUGUGGUAUGGGGAUUGUUUUUUAAGUAAUUUUUUGUUGAUAUUAUUUAAUUUUUGAUAACAAAACAUUAAAUUAAUUUAAAACUAUUAAAAAAAUAAAAAAUAAAAAAUAUGGGUGGACCGCACCGUAAGAUGCACGCCGUGGAAAUGAGCCGGUUCUUCGAUUGUUCGCAUUCAAACUGUCAUUUCAAGGUAUAAAUGCAAAUAUUUGGAAAGAUUCAUCGUUGAAAAGUGAUGGGCUUGAUUGGCUGAGUGAGCCAUCAUAUGAUCUUCGCCAGAUCCUCAUGGGCUCGAAUUAAACGUGCAUGCAUGGGACCAUUCGUCUUCAUUCAGCUGCUCCUAUUAUAUUGUGCCACCAUCACUAUCUUAUCUCUCUGUACUUCCUUAAUUCUUAUAUGACUUUCCCUCCAUUUUCUAGAUCAUCAGAAAUUAUUACGCCCAAGAAUAUGUAUGUAUGUAUGUAUAUACAUAUUAUUAACAUACAGAAAUCUAUAUUGAUCUGACAAAAAAAAUAUAUAUUAAGAUAUUAUUAACAUAUUAGCCCUUUAAUAUUAUAUAAAAAGAUUAUCUCUAUGUAAUAGCUUAAACUGUUAGGUGAUGUAUCAAGAUAUGAUUUAUAUUAUUCUCUAACACACCCUUUCAAGUGAAAGCUCUUUGGGCUUGAAACCUGUACAUGCCUAUAUUAUCUCGUGCUUGAUUUUUUAUCAAAUAAAUGGGAAUGAUGAGAUUCGAACUCGUGACCGUUUGGUCAUUAAGGCUCUGAUACCAUGUCAAAGAACCAUCCAACCCAAUAGCUUGAGCUGUUAGGUAGAUCCUAGGAUAUGAUUUAUAUUAUUUUCUAACACAUCCUUUCAAGUGAGGGUUCUUUGGGCUUGAAACUUGCACAAACUCACAUUAUUUUACGCUUAUUUUUUAUUAAAUAAAUGAGGAUUGUGAGAUUUAAACUCUUGACUACUUGAUUAUCAAGAUUCUGAUACAAUGUCAAAAAACCGCCUCAAUCUAAAAAUUUAAGUUGUAAAUAAAAUGAUAAAAUAUGAUUUAUAUUAUUUUUAAAAUAUAUAUAAUGUCAUGACACGUUGUUUUGCUUCUAGAUAGCCUAUAUUCAGAGUGCUCGGUUUUUGUCAACGUUUCGUCAUUUCUUCGAAGUUUACAUGCUUUAAUAUUCAAAUUCAUCUUCUUUCAUGAAAAAAGAUCAUUAACCCUUUAAUUUUCAUGUAGUGAGAUUUCGUUUUCCUUUCCUUUAAUAAUUUUAAAUCCCCAUCCAAUCCAUUGGUCAAGAGUUUCUGGUAAAAAAUUAUGAUAAAAUCUUUUGCUGCGAUCACUCCCUCUGGCUGGGGAAGACAGCACAAUUGUGGUCCACAGACAGCCAUUAAAGACUGUAUCAGCAAACAGAUUCUUAAAAAUAAUGGUCUCUUUCACAGUGGAUGGAUGAAGCAUCUUGUUAGUGUCCAAGAAACAUUGAUUGGAUCAUCUAUCCGUAUAAUAAUAGUGUUUAACUGUUAGAUUGUGGAGCUUUGCCACCAGACAAAAUUGGAUAUCUUGAUAAGAUCUCAAGGAGUUCACUUCGCUGAAAUAAGCUGCUUGCUUUCUUUUCUACGUAUUUGGAAGGUGUUUUAUAUAUGUUAUUUUUUAAAGUGUUUUUUUAAUAUAUUAAAAUAAUAUUUUUUUUAUUUUUUAAAAUUUAUUUUUAACAUUAAUACUUCAAAAUAAUCUAAAAAUAUAUUUUUAAAUUUUUUUUAACUUGUUUAAAAUAAAAUCUCAAAUACCAUUUGACAAUACAGUUUAUUCAGAAAUUGCACCGCAAUAAAAAUAUUAUUUUUAAUGUUUUUUGUCGAAAAAGGAUACUAAAUAUAUUUUAUCAUAUUAUUAACAUAUUGACCCUUUAAUUUGAUCUAUCUUAUAGCAUAUUGAAAUAAGUUAUAAAACUUAAUUUUUAAUCAAUUUAAUUUAAAAAAAUCAAUUAAAAAAAUCAAUUAAAAAAACAAAAAAUAACAUGAAUCAACCUAGUUUAAACUAUCAAACCCGCAACCUAAAUUAUAUAUAAAACUAUAAUAAUUCAAUAAAAAUUAAAUUAAAAUAAAUUAUAAAACUUAAUUUUCAAUCAAUUUAACAAUACAUCAUUUUUACAUCAUAGACAAUUUCCCCAAUCAAUCGUACCGACACAACACUCAGAUUAUCAAAAUUAAUUCAACACAAUGUUCUACUAAUGCACGUCACGUAUAUAGAUGAAAAUGUUUGAAUUUUCAUUGGUUAGCAACAAUAAAGAGUCAAAAUUAAGAUUUGACUUCUCCAUUGUGGAAAUUAAAGGAAGAAAACAUGAAAUUGCGAGUGGAGACGUGCAUGUUUAUAUAUAGCCUGUUCAUGUUUAUUUAAUUUGUUUUUUUCAAAUAACGAAUCGAUUUAAAUCUUUGAAACGACUUGUGCAUACGAGGAUAUCUUCCACGGUCAAGAAGCAAGAUUCCCACCUUGUGGAAUUUUUUGCAAUCUGAUAGACUAAAUCUUUCCAUUUCAUCAAUGGAUAUGGAAUCAUCUCUAGAUUUGCCAUAUCUUGUGACUGUGUUGUUGUCACCUUGUAGAAUUGUUCAAAAAACAAACAAGAUGUGUACGCAGAGAUCUUCAAUCUUGAAAUUCUUCAAGAAGAUUGGGUCCUCCAGUGUUUUUUCUCUUGUUGCUUUUGCUCUUGUGGGGACAAAUGGCUGCAGGCAUUAACAUGGGCAGCUGGAGACACAAAGCAUCCAUUGCUCUUUCAUUUGUGAAACUGAACAUCCAUGCCCGAGCUAACUAAAGUAAGAACAUGACAACCCUGAGCCAGUAUGUAGCUAAACUGAUCAGGUUUUAUAUUUACUUUUCAAAAGUCACCAGUUUAAAUCUCAUAAAUUUCAGGAUCACUGGAAGCUUAUUUGAUCGUUGAUUUCAGGAUCGUGGAUUAGUUAAGAUGGAUACAAACUGGCUCGAACAUUCAUAUUAAUCUAAAAAAAAAUAUGAUAAUUUAAGAGAUUGUUUAGUAUUAUUUUUAACUUUAGUUUCUGUCUUUACUUCUUUUAUUUGUUUUCUAAGUAAUUAAAAGUUGUUUGAUUUGCUAGUUUUUAAAUCUGUUUGGAAAUAUGGUUGAAGUUGUUUUUCAAAAUAUUUUUUAUUUAAAUAUACAUCAAAAUAAUAAUUUUUUUACAUCAUUACAUAAAAAAACAAAAAAAAACACUGAAAAUAUUAAUUUCAAUACAACCAAACCCCAACCACGACCAAACCCUAGAUUUCAUGAACUUGAUCCUUGCCAGACAACCUAGCGACCCCACCCUUACCAUCCCGAAUCCAACUUAGAAAAUAUUAAUGCCUUUUACCUAACGUAUCAAAUCUGAUUUAGUUUGUAAAACAGUGCCAAAUAGUUUUGAAAAUUUUUAAAAACCACUUUCUUGUUUCAAAAGUUUUUCAGAAAAAACUUGCAUGAAAACUAUAAAAUAAAAAAAGAUAGAGACAAAUAUCCUAGACUAACCAAGUCAAUGAAGUCAAUGGCUCUAUUAUAUUAAUAGGAUUUUAAUUACAAUACAGUGGCUAGUUAUGGGAAUUAAAUUAAAAAAAAAAAAAAACAAGAUUAGGUACGCUAAUUAUGUCAAUGUCGAGAUUUACAUGCCCUUAAUAAAACAAAAGGAGUUCUAUUGUUUCCUUCUCAAAGACAUCUCCCGUAUCUUAAGUGGAUUGCAAAAGGAAGAGAAUAUCUCAGCAGAAUCAUAAUGCUUUGAUUAGUUAUGCUAAGUUGAUAGUGAUUGACUCAUUUCUCCCUCAGUGAUUAACUUAUUAUAAGUAAUCAUGUCGUCAAGGUUGUAUUCAGACAGAGAUCCAUUUUAUAAUCAACUCAGAUAUGGUUGCUGUCCAGUAGGAUCAAGACAUAGGGUCACACUGUCUUCCACUACCUCCCCCUCCUCCUCCACC
rnacentral:lncRNA from 1 species